rnacentral:lncRNA from 1 species
UUUUUUAUGGCCUCUUUUUUUUCUUUCUUUUUUUUCGUCCGGAGUCUCAUCCCGACUUGUGGGGGAAUCAUAGUCUCCAUCAUCCUUUCCUCACUUGGGACAAUGCUCUAAUAAUGAUGAUCAUCACACUUUUAUUUACUUACAACUCAUGAAUUACAACUCAAUACUUAGAACAAAAUAUGACUCUAUAUGAAUGCCUCCGGCGGUGUACCGGGAUAUGCAAUGAAUCAAGAGCAACAUGUAUGAAAGAAUUGUGAACGGUGGCUUUGCCACAAAUACAAUGUCAACUACAUGAUCAUGCAAAGCAAUAUGAUAAUGAUGGAGCGUGUCAUGAUAAACGGAACGGUGGAAAGUUGCAUGGCAAUAUAUCUCGGAAUGGCUAUGAAAAUGCCAUGAUAGGUAGGUGUGGUGGCUGUUUUGAGGAAGAUAUAAGGAGGUUUAUGUGUGAUAGAGCGUAUCAUAUCACGGGGUUUGGAUGCACCGGCGAAGUUUGCACCAACUCUCAAGGUGAGAAAGGGCAAUGCGCGGUACCGAAGAGGCUAGAAAAUUGCGGAAAGGUAAGUGUGCGUAUAAUCCAUGGACUCACAUUAGUCAUAAAGAACUCAUAUACUUAUUGCAACAAUUUAUUAGCCCUCGAAGCAAAGUACUACUACGCAUGCUCCUAGGGGAAGGGUUGGUAGGAGUUAACCAUCGCGCGGUCCCGACUGCCACACAAAGGAAGACAAUCAACAAAUACUUCAUGCUCCGACUUUGUUACAUAACGGUUCACCAUACGUGCAUGCUACGGGAAUCACAAACUCCAACACAUGUAUUUUUCAAUUCCACAAUUACUCAACUAGCACAACUAUGAUAUUACUAUCUUUAUAUCUCAAAACAAUUAUCAAGCAUCAAAUUUCUCAUGAUAUUAAUUAAAGCAAAUUGCCAUGCUAAUUUAAAACUCUCAAAAUAAUAUAAGUGAAGCAUGAGAGAUAAAUAGUUUCUAUAAAACAAUUCCACCACCAUGCUCUAAAAGAUAUAAGUGAAGCACUAGAGCAAAACUAUAUAGCUCAAAAAAUAUAAGUGAAGCACAUAGAGUAUUCUAAUAAAUUCUGAAUCAAGUGUGACUCUCUCAAAAGGUGUGUACAGCAAGGAUGACUAUGGUAAACUAAAAAUCAAAGACUCAAAUAAUACAAGACGCUCCAAGCAAAACACAUAUCAUGUGGUGAAUAAAAAUAUAGCUCCAAGUAAACUUACCGAUGGAAGUAGACGAAAGAGGGGAUGCCUUCCGGGGCAUCCCCAAGCUUUGGCUUUUAGGUGUCCUUAGAUUAUCUUGAGGGUGCCAUGGGCAUCCCCAAUCUUAGGCUCUUGCCACUCCUUGUUCCAUAAUCCAUCAAAUCUUUCACCCAAAACUUGAAAACUUCACAACACAAAACUCAGCAGAAAAUCUCGUGAGCUCCGUUAGCGAAAGUAAACAAAAGACCACAUCAAGGUACAGUAAUGAACUCAUUCUUUAUUUAUAUUGGUGUUAAACCUACCGUAUUCCAACUUCUCUAUGGUUUAUAAGCUAUUUUACUAGCCAUAGAUUCAUCAAAAUAAGCAAACAACACACGAAAAACAGAAUCUGUCAAAAACAGAACAGUCUGUAGUAAUCUGUAACUAACGCAAAAUUCUGGAACUCAAAAAAUUCAUCCAAAAUAGGAAGACCUAGAAAAUUUGUUUAUUGAUGAGCAGCAAUUGGAAUCCAUAUUUUAUCACGUUCUGGUGAUUUUUAACAAUUAUUUUCAUGAACAGAAAGUUUCUGGAAUUUUCAGCAAGAUGAAAUAACUAUCAUCCAAGAAGAUCCUAUAGGUUAAACUUGGCACAAACACUAAGUAAAACAUAAAAAGACAUCUAACCAUAGGAUAUAUCAAAGAUUUAUUCCUAAACAGAAGCAAAAAGCAAAAAAACUAAAAAUAAAAAUUGGGUUGCCUCCCAACAAGCGCUAUCGUUUAACGCCCCUAGCUAGGCAUCAUAGCAAGGAUAGAUCUAGGUAUUGCCAUCUUUGGUAGGAAAUUCUUCAAUGAGGCAUCUACCAUCUUUAGGAGUUUCUUUCUUUUUAUUAAUUAUCAAACUUUUAGGCACAAGAUCGAAAAAUUCAUUUAUAGCAAAUGGUUCCUUAAUGAUAGCAAAGAGAUUGGGAUGAAUACUUAUAGAUUUGAGAUCCGCAGUUUCCUUACUAGAGGAUUCAUCCUUAUUUUUAGGAACAUACAUAAGCUUGGCAAUUUUAGUUGGAGGACUAGGAGUAUUCUUUAUGGAAGAAAGCGGUUCCCAAGUUGGUAAUGAUACCCUCGAGUUUAUCAAUUCUAGUGGAAUCCUGAUUUAUUCUUUCAUUAACUAUGGGUUCCUUCUCUUUAAUAUUUUUCAAAGUAACUCCUACCUUAGAUCCAUAUUGGGUAAUUUGAUUGUGGAUCUUUUUAUCCAAAUUUUCAAUUAACUCAACGGUAGCAACUUUAUUUUCAAUAAUUUCAAGUCUUUGCAUUACAUGCUCCAAAGUUAACGUAGUUCCAUUAACCAAAAGAGGUGGUGAGCCAAAUAAAUCUAUCAUAGCAUUAUAAGAACCAAAAGUAUGGCUACCCAAGAAAUUCCCUCCGGUAAUGGUAUCAAGAAUAUAUCGGUACCAAGGAGUAGCGCCUACAUAAAAAUUGCGGAGAAGAACGGAAGUAGAUUGCUUCUUGGUAGAUCUAUUUUGAGCAUUGCAAAUUCUAUACCAAGCGUCUUUUAGAUUUUCUCCCUCCCUUUGCUUAAAAUUAAGAACUUCAUUUUCGGGAGACAACGGAGAAGAUAGCGGACUAGCCAUAACGAUAAGCUAGCGAAAGAGGCAAAUAGAAAAGAGAGGGCGAAUAAAACGGCAAGGGUGAAUUGGGGGAGAGGAAAACGAGAGACAAAUGGCAAAUAAUGUAAAUGCGGGAGAUAAGGGCUUGUGAUGGGUACUUGGUAUGUUGACUUUUGCGUAGACUCCCCGGCAACGGCGCCAGAAAUCCUUCUUGCUACCUCUUGAGCACUGCGUUGGUUUUCCCUUGAAGAGGAAAGGGUGAUGCAGCAAAGUAGCGUAAGUAUUUCCCUCAGUUUUUGAGAACCAAGGUAUCAAUCCAGUAGGAGGCCAUGCACGAGUCCCUCGCACCUACAAAAACAAAUAAAUCCUCGCAACCAACGCGAUAAGGGGUUGUCAAUCCCUACACGGUCACUUACGAGAGUGAGAUCUGAUAGAUAUGAUAAGAUAAUAUUUUUGGUAUUUUUAUGAUAAAGAUGCAAAGUAAAUAAAGCAAAAUAAAAACGGCGCCAGAAAUAGCUUGUUGUCGGGAGAUUAAUAUGAUGGAAAAUAGACCCGGGGGCCAUAGGUUUCACUAGUGGCUUCUCUCAAGAGCAUAAGUAUUACGGUGGGUGAACAAAUUACUGUUGAGCAAUUGACAGAAUUGAGCAUAGUUAUGAGAAUAUCUAGGUAUGAUCAUGUAUAUAGGCAUCACGUCCGAGACAAGUAGACCGACUCCUGCCUGCAUCUACUACUAUUACUCCACACAUCGACCGCUAUCCAGCAUGCAUCUAGAGUAUUAAGUUCAAAAGAACAGAGUAACGCUUUAAGCAAGAUGACAUGAUGUAGAGGGAUAAACUCAUGCAAUAUGAUGUAAACCCCAUCUUGUUAUCCUCGAUGGCAACAAUACAAUAUGUGCCUUGCUGCCCCUACUGUCACUGGGAAAGGACACCGCAAGAUUGAACCCAAAGCUAAGCACUUCUUCCAUUGCAAGAAAGAUCAAUCUAGUAGGCCAAACCAAACUGAUAAUUCGAAGAGACUUGCAAAGAUAACCAAUCAUACAUAAAAGAAUUCAGAGAAGAUUCAAAUAUUGUUCAUAGAUAAACUUGAUCAUAAACCCACAAUUCAUCAGUCUCAACAAACACACCGCAAAAGAAGAUUACAUCGAAUAGCCAUGAGAGAGGGGGAGAACAUUGUAUUGAGAUCCAAAAAGAGAGAAGAAGCCAUCUAGCUAAUAACUAUGGACCCGAAGGUCUGAGGUAAACUAGUCACACAUCAUCGGAGAGGCUAUGGUGUUGAUGUAGAAGCCCUCCGUGAUCGAUGCCCCCUCCGGCGGAGCUCCGGAAAAGGCCCCAAGAUGGGAUCUCACGGGUACAGAAGGUUGCGGCGGUGGAAAGGUUUUUGGCUCCGUAUCUGAUCGUUUGGGGGUACGUAGGUAUAUAUAGGAGGAAGAAGUACGUCGGUGGAGCAACGUGGGGCCCAUGAGGGUGGAGGGCGCGCCCAGGGAGUAGGCCGCCCCCCUACCUCGUGGCCUCCUGGUAGCUUUCUUGACGUAGGGUCCAAGUCCUCUGGAUCACGUUCGUUCCGAAAAUCACGUUCCCGAAGGUUUCAUUCCGUUUGGACUCCGUUUGAUAUUCUUUUUCUGCGAAACUCUGAAAUAGGAAAAAACAACAAUUCUGGGUUGGGCCUCCGGUUAAUAGGUUAGUCCCAAAAAUAAUAUAAAAUUGUAUAAUAAAGCCCAAUAAUGUCCAAAACAUAAUAUAAUAUAGCAUGGAGCAAUAAAAAAUUAUAGAUAUGUUGGAGACGUAUCAACGCUAUUCGGGCGGCGCACCCGCAGCGGCGCCAUCGUCAUCAACGAGGGUGCCCGGCCCUCCCCGGGUGGCUCCCUCCGCCUGGUCCGGCCGAAGCCCGAGCCGGGGCUGCUCCCGGUGAAGCCAGAGCACGUCGAGAUGGCGGCCCCCGACGACGAGUCCGCCCUCAAGUGGGCGAAGGAGGACUACGUCCGGGAGCAGGUACGCCGCCAGCGCCGGGCGUACGCUGAGCUCCAGGCCCGGCGCCGCGGGCGCGAGGAGGGCAGCAUCAUCGUCCUCGACAGCAACGAGGAGGGCGAGGCCGGGCCGUCCAGCGCCCCACCGCGCGUCGGCGAUCCUGGCCAGGGCUGCAGGAGGGACGGCGGCGGCGGCACAGGCGAGGCACGCGACAACGACGACGACGGCGAUGGCGACGGCGGCGACUAGACCCGCUUCUACAGGCUUCUCGGCAUGUAGAAGACGGACGGCGGCGGCGGUGGCGGCUAGGCGUACUUUAGGCGUAGUUUGCAUGGUUACAUGUUUUUUGUACAAAUUUCAAUGAACUUUCGCCGAGUUCGUGCCAAAAUCGCCGAGUUUGCAUAUGUUUGUACGGAAUAUCGCCGAACCCGGGGCGACCUGUGGGCUGACGACUGGGAACAAAGUCGCCCCCACGCGCCAAUCUAGCGCCGACUCGCCCCCAGGCGGCUCUUUUUCGACGCCCUGGGGGGCCGAACGGCUGGAGAUGCUCUUAGGUGCCUUGGUUUAUAUAGGUGUGCCGGCGGCUCGAUGGAAACGCCAGAUGUACGCCUACAUAAUAAGAAAAGUAAAAUAAACCUGAUACAUACCUUAGAGCAUCUUUAGCAGACCCCUUAUAACGCCGUGAACCGCAAAAUAACCGUCAAAUACGGGUCAUCGCGGAAAAUUCUGCCCGAGCGUCCGUUCACCCUCAACCUUUAGAUUCAUGGGGUGGGAAGCCGACCCGAGCUCGCCCCCUAUCCGCUGCGAGGUUUGGCGCGGGGGAAAUUUUCGCGCGACCGUUCCUUUUCCCCCCCUCCUCGGCCGCCAUUGCCCCGCCACCGCGCGCUCCGGUCCAUCUUCCCCGCCAUUCUUCGCCGCCAUGGGAGCCUCCCAACCGUCCCCUGUCACUGUGGAGGUCGCGCACGCGCAAUCCCUUCCGUCGGAUCUCGUCACCGGCCAUGUCGCCCCCGCCGUCGCCCAAGGCCCCAACGCGCCUGCCCACAAGCGGCAGGGCAACGUUGUCGUGCAAGGCGGCAAUCCGGCUAGCCCCGCCAGAAAGGCGCGCGCGUCGGGCGGCGCCGCCGCUGCGCGAUCUGCCCGGUCGCCGACGGAGAAGGUGAGCAAGGUUUCGGGCGUGAAGCGGAAGAAGAUUCCUACGAAAAGGCCGGCGCCUUCGUCCACUCCCUCCCCCCGGCGAGAUGUUCCCCGACGAUGCCGUUCAACGGUGCUGCUUCCACCGCAGGCGAGGUGUUCGUUGAAAUGGCCGGAAGGUAUGCAUCUUCGAUCUCUUGUUCUUGCUUUGCUUUUCGCCAUUGUGGUUGUUCGUGACUUGAUGUCACUCAUUGUAGCGGUGGUUCGAACAAUGCCACUGCCGAGUUCGUGAACUUGUUGGACACCAACACCGUCGACAUCGAUCCAACCCCGUUCGCUGAUUUUGAUUACAAUGAAAUGGAGGGUGGCGUGGAUGAUCACGGUGGUGAGGAUGAAGUGGAGGAGGUAGAUGAGGGGGUGUAUGAGCAAGCGUAAGCAAAAAAAUCGUGAGAUCAAAGAACUGCACGAUCUUGGAAGAUCAAAUCUUGAUCAAGGCUUGGAGUGCGGUGUCUCUUGAUGCUUGCACGGGUAUGUCUCAAACCUCCAAGAGAUAUUGGCAAAGAAUCGAAGAUCAAUACUUCCGCAUGAUGGCCAAGCAUCCCAAUAGGACAACACGGACCUUUCGGUCACUCCAAGGUCGUUGGGAUGUGAUCAAGCCAAUUAGUAGUUAUUGGGCAGCUUGCUUGGAACAUGUUCGCAAUGCACCUCCAAGUGGAACCGUGGAAUCUGAUUAUCUGAGUACGUUUUCACGUCCCAAGUUGUGCACAUCAUUUGCAUCAUAUGAAGCGAUUGCAUCAUUUGAGUUUGUUUUGAUUGUGUAGGACAAAAUUGCCCAACAAAGAUACAAAGACAUGGAAGCUUCCGAAGGUAAUUUUUUUAAACUAGAGCAUUGUUGGGAUAUGCUCAAAGAGUGUGAGAAGUGGAAGUUGAUUGACAAAGAAUCCCCACCGAAGAGAGGUUCAUUUACGAACAUGGAUGAAGAUGAAGAUGAUGAUGGCCCAAGAAAUUUGAAGAAGCCCGAUGGUGACAAGAAGACAAAGGAGAGGAUCAAGAGGGAACAUGAAGCAUCGAGCUUGCGGGACAAGAUAGAUGCCAUGGUGCAAUCAAAUGAGUUAAUGUUAGCGAAGACAUUGGAGACAAAGAAAGAGUUGGACGAGAAGAAGGCACGAGAGAAGCAAGAGAAGUGGCAAUUGCUCAAGGACGAGGGGUUGCGCAAGGUGACCAUUGAGGAGAGAAGAGCACGUGCCGGUGAGAACAAAGCCAUGUCCAAGCUUCUUGCCGAAGAGAAUAGGAUCAUGACAUUGAACGCAAUUACAAGGACGACAUCACCAAAGAAUGGCAUGAUAUGGCAAGGAGAGACAUCUUGAAGAGGAGGAUGCUUGCGUCGGCCGAUGCGUGUUACAGUGCCGGCGAUGUUUUCUCAUCGGGAUUCGGAACCAAUAUCGCCGAUGCAUUCAGUGCGUCUGCCGGUGAUUUCGGUGCCGGAGUUGGAACAAGUGCCGGCGAUGGAUUCGGGGGCGGCGAUGACCUCGAUGGAGGUGGUGCGGAGUGAAGAGCGACCAAGAUGAUGACGGACGUGGUUGUCGCUUUUGCAAGUCCUUUUGCCUUUGUCCUACAAAACUAUGAUUUUAUUUGCACGCGAACUAUGUUUUAUUGUUUGAAUUUGAACUCAUUUGUCAGAAUCGCUGUCAAAUUCGCUUAUUAGGGGUUUUCAGUCUGCGGGUCAACGCGGCGGCGCCGAAGCAUCUUCUGCGAAUAUCCUUUUUUACGGGUCCGUUUGCGGGGUCUGACUCUGCCCUCGCCCGCGCCGGCCCGCAAAGCCGUUUUUCCGCGAACUGUAAACGCGUUUUGCCGGUCGGCGUUAUACGGGUCUGCUAGAGAUGCUCUUAUUACGUGAUGCGCGCCCAUUACCUUUCUGAGCUCCUCUUCUUCAGCUGGGUACACACAGGUAUUCGGACAUGCAUAAAUGUAUGUGUACACGGCCGGCCGACGCAUGGGUAUUCGAAUAGGUACGCGUACUUGCCGGCAGUGGCCAAGCCAGCUAUUUGGCUGUUGGCGCUGCCCAUUCUUCUACCUUGCAACCCUUUCUUUGUGUCUCAAGAACACAUACCAUGGGUAAAAUUUUGGUCAUAUGCCCUAUGAGGGGCAAAUAGGUCUUCUCAUAUAUGAUUUAACACCGUUAAAGUUUGAAAUGGACGAAAGUGUCAUAAAGAACAUAAAAUUUAGACAUGGUGUUAGAUUGGGAAGAAAAACAAUUCUAGUGUCAAAUAUGAAAGCAAUAUUUAAAACAGUGUCAUAUAAGGAAUUUUCUCAAUACUAUAGAUGUUAUGAUGUCCUGCUGCUUAAUAGUUGUCCAUGUCCUUCGGUGAAACCAGUUUCACUAACACCGAUUGAGCAAUCUGCAUCGAGCCGACUGGGCAAUCGGCUUUACCAACACUGACUGGAUCCUAAUCGGCUUAGCCAAACCCGAUUGGAAUCCAAUUGGUUUCGCCGUUGCCAAUUAGUCCAAUCGGCUACAGCUAAGCCGACGCUGUAUUGUUUUUGUAAAAUUUCAAACCAGUGUAUUAUUUCUUGAAUUAAUGAAAAAAUAUAUUAUUUAAUUCUUUUUAGCUUUUUCCGGUGCAGCUUCGCGAUAAAAGUCCAUAUGCUUCUGUUCAUCCCCACCUAGGUGUAAAUCCUGCGAUUCUUCCCCAAUUUGUGCCAUCCAAGCGACCAACUUGACGCUGCCGGUCAAGAGGGGGUCUCGCUAGAGGUCGGAAACAGCAGCAAAGUUUCUUGUCCGCUCUCUAUAUUUCAGCACAACCCACCUCUGCCCCCCUCUCUCUCUCUCACCCGCACCUCGCCGCCCUUCCUCCGGAUCUCGGCUCUGCUCGGCGGCGCCAGCAGAGCGGGGUCGGAGGCAUACGAGCGAAUCCCCCAGACAACGUUGCUCACAGCUCGAGAGGCCGACAAAGCAUUGGUUCCUCUGUGCUCGCCACGUCAUGGCGGCGGCGCUCAUGGACGGCGAGCUCGGGAGCCUACUGAAGGCCACGGCGGCGGUUUGGGCGGCCAUGUACUACGCCCGCAUGGCCGCCGCGCUCAUUCGCCCAGGCGCCGCUCGCCUCGCCGCGCUUCUGCCCGCUGUCGCGCUCUUCUGCGCGAUCCCCUUCGCCUUCUCCACCACCACGUUCCGCGGCAGCUCCGCCUUCUUCCUCUGCUGGCUCGGCACCUUCAAGCUCCUCCUCCUCGCCGCCGGCCGCGGGCCCCUGGACCCGUCCCUCUCCCUGCCCCACUUCGUCUUCUCCGCCUCCCUGCCCGUCAAGUUCCGGCAGCCCGCCCCCGCCAAAUCAAAGGACCAAGAUCCCGCUUCGGCUUCGGCCCGUGGACACGGCCCGGCCAAGAUCCUCGUCGCCGGCGCCGUCAUCCCCUUCAUCAUCUACGCGUACCAGUUCAAGGACGCGAUGCGCCGGUGGCAGCUCGUCCUCCUGUACACCGUGCACAUCUACCUCUCCCUGGAGCUCCUGCUGGGCUCGGUGCGCGCCCUGAUCCACGGCGUGCUGGGCAUGGAGAUGGAGCCGCAGGUGGACCGGCCGUACCUGGCGUCGUCGCUGCGGGACUUCUGGGGCAGGCGGUGGAACCUCAUGGUGCCCGCCAUCCUCCGGCCGUCGGUGCACGGCCCCGUGCGCGCGCGCUUCGGCGACGCGGCGGGCGUCAUGGCGUCCUUCCUCGUCUCCGGGCUCAUGCACGAGGUGAUGUUCUACUACAUCAUGUGGCAGCCGCCCAGCGGCGACGUGACCGCGUUCUUCGUCCUGCACGGCGCGUGCACCGCGGCGGAGGGGUGGUGGGCGCGGCACGCCGGGUGGUGGCGCCCGCCGCGGGCGGCCGCGGUGCCGCUCACGCUGGCGUUCGUGGGCGGGACGGGGAUCUGGCUCUUCUUCCCGGCCAUGGUCAGGGGCGGCCUGGACGAGCUUGUGCUGCAGGAGUGCCAGGGCUUGGUGGCGGCCAUGGAGCAGGCCGGCCGUUGGCUCGCCGGCGGCGCCGCCGCCGGUCCCAUUCUUUCCACGCGCUGACCAGGAGAAAACAUGCGCUGUGACGAGGGGCCGAACGUGUGCCGUACGAUUAGGAUCCAAAGGGCGAUAGGAGUAUACUACUUGUGAUGUGGACUGUGGUAGACUUCAGAUCUUGGAAGGUCGUGAUUGAACAUUCAUUGAUCGAUAAUAAUUAAAAUAUAUUGAUAUUCAGAUCUUGGAUGUCUGCUACAGUCUGGCGAUAUCCUUUUCUUAAUUGAAACAAAAUUUAAUGAUGGCGCCGUAGCUGCUGACUGGUGAGUAGCUUUCCUUCUUCUUCCCAGGCUGACUCGUACUGUACACUCAGCUGACAUAGAACGGCACUUGGUCGUGACCGGUGAAAUACUUCUUCUAGCAGCGCCAGAAAUUUUCCACAAAGACUGAGGAAGCCAUGCGUUCGAAAGUUUAUUUCAAAAGACCCUAAGAGCAACUUCAACCCGCCGAUCCGAACAAACGCGCGCUUUGUCAGUUUUUCGUUCGCUUGAAUCGGUCAGGCGGACGUGCGCAUCCGCUUUUUAAUUUGGGUCGGCGGAUGCGCUCAACGGGAGGCAUACCCAUUUUUGCCGAGGUGGCCGAAACAAAUUUAAUCAACCAUAAUUAUACAUAAAUGGUCGGUCAAACGCCGGCCAAAGUCCACUUAAACAUAACUAACAUUAAAAAACUGUAAUAAACGCCCGCACGAUGCCCUAGUAGAACGCCUUCCCCUUGCCUUUGCCCUUGCCGUUGUUGCCGCCGCUUGUCAGGGGUGUCGUGCGACAUAUGCCAAAGGAUGACUUAUCAUGGUGAGGAAGAGUAAGACGUCGCCGGUGCCUGAAAACGGGAUAAGGCGUAGACAUGUACGCCGACGCAUCUUACCCAGGUUCGGGGCUCUCCUAGGAGAUAACACUCCUAGCCCUCCUCUGCGGGUCUCCGCAUGAUCACUAAAUCAACAAUGGUGACUACAAGCUUGCUCCUUGAGUUGUUUCUCUAGAGGAGGAAGAAGAACAAGGCUAGCCCUAGCUUCACUCUCUCUAUGUGGGUAUGUGGUCUCUAAGAGGCUGAACCCUUUGCAUGGGUGCCCUGGGGGGUUUAUAUAGGCCUACCCCACAGGGGUAUAAUGGUAAUCUGGCCGGGUGUAGGACCCGGCUGUCAGUGUCUCUGGUGACCAGCUUCUCCGCCGGCAGCAGGGGCCCGCCGCCUGGUGGGACCCGCCGGCUGUCUCGUACUUCAUCGACAGGCCGCGCUCGCCGCUUGCGGGUCUUGCCGGCUGCUUAGUACUGUGGUCGCGCCACUGAUGAUGCAUGCUUAGUCGGGGAGAGCAUGGCUACAGUGCCGCCGCCUGGUGAGCGUUCAUUGUAGCCACUCCCCGUCUCUUCUGAUUAAUGUGGCACGGACUUGUUGGGGAACGUAGUAAUUUCAAAAAAAUUCCUACGCAUACGCAAGAUCAUGGUGAUGCAUAGCAACGAGAGGAGAGAGUGUCGUCCACGUACCCUCGUAGACCGUUAAGCGGAAGCGUUAUGGCAAUGCGGUUGAUGUAGUCGUACGUCUUCACGAUCGACCGAUCCUCAGUACCGAACGUACGACACCUCCGCGUUCAGCACAUGUUUAGCUCGGUGAUGUCCCGCGAACACACGAUCCAGUAGAGCUCGAGGGAGAGUUUCGUCAGCACGACGGCGUGAUGACGAUGUUGAUGAAGCUAUCGACACAGGGCUUCGCCUAAGCACCGCUACGAUAUGACCGAGGUGGAUUAUGGUGGAGGGGAGCACCGCACACGGCUGGGAGAGAUCAAUGAUCAACUUGUGUGUCUAUGGGUUGCCCCCUAGCCACGUAUAUAAAGGAUGGAGGGAGGAGGAGGCCGACCCUCAUAGGGCGCGCCCAAGUGUGGAGUCCUACUAGGACUCUCUAGUCCUAGUAGGAUUCCACCUCCCACAUGGAAUAGGAAAAAGGGAAGGGAAAAGGAGAAGGAAGGAAGGGGGCGCCCCCCUCCCUAGUCCAAUUCGGACCGGUCCAUGGGGAGGGGUGUGGCCACCCUUUGAGGCCUUUCUCUCCUUUCCCGUAUGGCCCAUUAAGGCCCACUACGAAUUCCCGUAACUUUCCGGUACUCCGAAAAAUAGCCGAAUCACUCGGAACCUUUCCGAUGUCCGAAUAUAGUCGUCCAAUAUAUCGAUCUUUACGUCUCGACCAUUUCGAGACUCCUCGUCAUGUCCCCGAUCUCAUCCGGGACUCCGAACUACCUUCGGUACAUCAAAUCACAUAACUCAUAAUACAAAUCGUCACAGAACGUUAAGCGUGCGGACCCUACGAGUUCGAGAACUAUGUAGACAUGACCGAGACACGUCUCCGGUCAAUAACCAAUAGCGGAACCUGGAUGCUCAUAUUGGCUCCCACAUAUUCUACGAAGAUCUUUAUCGGUCAAACCGCAUAACAACAUACGUUGUUCCCUUUGUCAUUUGUAUGUUACUUGCCCGAGAUUCGAUCGUCGGUAUCUCAAUACCUAGCUCAAUCUCAUUACCGGCAAGUCUCUUUACUCGUUCCGUAAUGCAUCAUCCCGCAACUAACUCAUUAGUCACAUUGCUUGCAAGGCUUAUAGUGAUGUGCAUUACCGAGAGGGCCCAGAGAUACCUCUCCGACAAUCGGAGUGGCAAAUCCUAAUCUUGAUCUAUGCCAACUCAACAAGUACCAUCAGAGACACCUGUAGAGCACCUUUAUAAUCACCCAUUUACGUUGUGACAUUUGGUAGCACACAAAGUGUUCCUCCGGUAAACGGGAGUUGCAUAAUCUCAUAGUCAUAGGAACAUGUAUAAGUCAUGAAGAAAGCAAUAGCAAUAAAACUGUAACGAUCACAAUGCUAAGCUAAUGAAUGGGUCUCGUCCAUCACAUCAUUCUCCUAAUGAUGUGAUCCCGUUCAUCAAAUGACAACACAUGUCUAUGGCUAGGAAACAUAACCAUCUUUGAUGAAUAAGCUAGUCAAGUAGAGGCAUACUAGGGACACAUUGUUUUGUCUAUGUGUUCACACAUGUAUCAAGUUUCCAGUUAAUACAAUUCUAGCAUGAAUAAUAAACAUUUAUCAUGAAAUAAGGAAAUAAAUAAUAACUUUAUUAUUGCCUCUAGGGCAUAUUUCCUUCAGUCUCCCACUUGCACUAGAGUCAAUAAUCUAGUUCACAUCGCCAUGUGAUUUAACAUCAAUAGUUCACAUCUUUAUGUGGUUAACACCCAUAGUUCACAUCUACAUGUGACCAACACCCAAAGGGUUUACUAGAGUCAGUAAUCUAGUUCACAUCGCUAUGUGAUUAACACCCAAAGAGUACUAAGGUGUGAUCAUGUUUUGCUUGUGAGAUAAUUUUAGUCAACGGGUCUGUCACGUUCAGAUCCGUAAGUAUUUUGCAAAUUUCUAUGUCUACAAUGCUCUACAUGGAGCUACUCUAGCUAAUAGCUCCCACUUUCAAUAUGUAUCUAGAUCGAUACUUAGAGUCAUCCAGAUCGGGUUCAAAGCUUGUAUCGACGUAACUCUUUACGACGAACUCUUUAUCACCUCCAUAACCGAGAAAUAUUUCCUUAUUCCACUAAGGAUAAUUUUGACCGCUGUCCAGUGAUCUACUCCUAGAUCACUAUUGUACCAUCUUGCCAAACUCUUCGUGAGGUACACAAUAGGUCUGGUACACAGCAUAGCAUACUUUAUAGAACCUAUAACUGAGGCAUAGGGAAUGACUUUUCAUUCUCUUUCUAUUUUCUGCCGUGGUCGGGUUUUGAGUCUGACUCAACUUCACACCUUGUAACACAGGCAAGAACCCUUUCUUUGCUUGAUCCAUUUUGAACUUUUUCAAAACUUUAUCAAGGUAUGUGCUUUGUGAAAGUCCAAUCAAGCGUCUUUAUCUAUCUCUAUAGAUCUUGAUACCCAAUAUAUAAGCAGCUUCACCGAGGUCUUUCUUUGAAAAAACUCCUUUUAAAUACUCCUUUAGGCUUUCCAGAAAAUUCUACAUUAUUUCCGAUCAACAAUAUGUCAUUCACAUAUAUUUAUCAGAAAUGAUGUAGUGCUCCCACUCACUUUCUUGUAAAUACAGGCUUCAUCGCAAGUCUGUAUAAAACUAUAUGCUUUGAUCAACUCAUCAAAGCGUAUAUUCCAACUCCGAGAUGCUUGCACCAGUCCAUAGAUGGAUCGCUGGAGCUUGCACAUUUUGUUAGCACCUUUAGGAUCGACAAAACCUUCGGGUUGCAUCAUAUAUAAUUCUUCUUUAAGAAAUCCAUUAAGGAAUGUAGUUUUGACAUCCAUUUGCCAGAUUUCAUAAAAUGUGGCAAUUUGCUAACAUGAUUCGGACAAACUUAAGCAUCGCUACGAGUGAGAAAAUCUCAUCGUAGUCAACACCUUAAACUUUGCCAAAAACCUUUUUCAACAAGUCUAGCUUUGUAGAUAGCAACACUAUUAUCAACGUCCGUCUUCCUCUUGAAGAUCCAUUUAUUUUUAUGGCUUGCCGAUCAUCGGGCAAGUCAACCAAAGUCCAUACUUUGUUCUCAUACAUGGAUCCCAUCUCAGAUUUCAUGGCCUCAAGCCAUUUCGCGGAAUCUGGGCUCAUCAUCGCUUCCUCAUAGUUCAUAGGUUCGUCAUGGUCAAGUAACAUGACCUCCAGAACAGGGUUACCGUACCACUCUGGUGUGGAUCUCACUCUGGUUGACCUACGAGGUUCGGUAGUAACUUGAUCUGAAGUUACAUGAUCAUCAUAAUUAGCUUCCUCACUAAUUGGUGUAGGAGUCACUGGAACAGAUUUCUGUGAUGGACUACUUUCCAAUAAGGGAGCAGGUACAGUUACCUCAUCAAGUUCUACUUUCCUCCCACUCACUUCUUUCGAGAGAAACUCCUUCUCUAGAAAGGAUCCAUUCUUAGCAACAAAUGUCUUGCCUUCGGAUCUGUGAUAGAAGGUGUACCCAACAGUCUUCUUUGGGUAUCUAUGAAGACACAUUUCUCCGAUUUGGGUUUGAACUUAUCAGGAUGAAACUUUUUCACAUAAGCAUCGCAAUCCCAAACUUUAAGAAAUGACAACUUUGGUUUCUUGCUAAACCACAGUUCAUAUAGUGUCGUCUCAACGGAUUUAGAUGGUGCCCUAUUUAACGUGAAUGCAGCUGUCUCUAAUGCAUAACACCAAAACGAUAGUGGUAAAUCGGUAAGAGACAUCAUAGAUUGCAGCAUAUCUAAUAAAGUACGGUUACGAUGUUCGGACACACCAUUACGCUGUGGUGUUCCAAGUGGCGUGAGUUGCGAAACUAUUCCGCAUUGUUUCAAAUGAAGACCAAACUCAUAACUCAAAUAUUCUCCUCCACGAUCAGAUCGUAGAAACUUUAUUUUCUUGUUACGAUGAUUUUCCACUUCACUCUGAAAUUAUAUGAACUUUUCAAAUGUUUCAGACUUAUGUUUCAUCAAGUAGAUAUACCCAUAUCUGCUCAAAACAUUUGUGAAGCUAAGAAAAUAACGAUACCCGCCGUGAGCCUCAACACUCAUCGGAUCGCAUACAUCAGUAUGUAUUAUUUCCAAUAAGUCAGUUGCUCGCUCCAUUGUUCUGGAGAACGGAGUCUUAGUCAUCUUGCCCAUGAGGCAUGGUUCGCAAGCAUCAACUGAUUCAUAAUCAAGUGAUUCCAAAAGCCCCUCAGCAUGGAUUUUCUUCAUGCGCUUUACACCAAUAUGACCUAAACGGCAGUGCCACAAAUAAGUUGCACUAUCAUUAUUAACUUUGCAUCUUUUGGCUUCAAUAUUAUGAAUAUGUGUAUCACUACGAUCGAGAUCCAACAAACUAUUUUCAUUGGGUGUAUGACCAUCGAAGGUUUUAUUCAUGUAAACAGAACAACAAUUAUUCUCUGACUUUAAAUGAAUAACCGUAUUGCAAUAAACAUGAUCAAAUCAUAUUCAUGCUCAACGCAAACACCAAAUAACAUUUAUCUAGGUUCAACACUAAUCCCGAAAGUAUAGGGAGUGUACGAUGAUGAUCAUAUCAAUCUUGGAACUACUUCCAACACAAAUCGUCACUUCACCCUUAACUAGUCUCUGUUCAUUCUGCAACUCCCGUUUCGAGUUACUAAUCUUUAGCAACUGAACUAGUAUCAAAUACUGAGGGACUGGUCCCUAGUCCUAGUAGGAUUCCACCUCCCACAUGGAAUAGGAAAAAGGGAAGGGAAAAGGAGAAGGAAGGAAGGGGGCGCCCCCCUCCCUAGUCCAAUUCGGACCAGUCCAUGGGGAGGGGUGCGUCCGCCCUUUGAGGCCUUUCUCUCCUUUCCCGUAUGCCCAUUAAUUCCCAAUACGAAUUCCCGUAACUCUCCGGUACUCUGAAAAAUACCUGAAUCAUUCGGAACCUUCCCGAUGUCCGAAUAUAGUCGUCCAAUAUAUCGAUCUUUACGUCUCGACCAUUUCGAGACUCCUCGUCAUGUCCCCGAUCUCAUCCGGGACUCCGAACUACCUUCGGUACAUCAAAUCACAUAACUCAUAAUACAAAUCGUCACAGAACGUUAAGCGUGCGGACCCUACGGGUUCGAGAACUAUGUAGACAUGACCGAGACACGUCUCCGGUCAAUAACCAAUAGCGGAAUCUGGAUGCUCAUAUUGGCUCCCACAUAUUCUACGAAGAUCUUUAUCGGUCAAACCGCAUAACAACAUACGUUGUUCCCUUUGUCAUUUGUAUGUUACUUGCCCGAGAUUCGAUCGUCGGUAUCUCAAUACCUAGCUCAAUCUCGUUACCGGCAAGUCUCUUCACUCGUUCCGUAAUGCAUCAUCCCGCAACUAACUCAUUAGUCACAUUGCUUGCAAGGCUUAUAGUGAUGUGCAUUACCGAGAGGGCCCAGAGAUACCUCUCCGACAAUCGGAGUGACAAAUCCUAAUCUUGAUCUAUGCCAACUCAACAAGUACCAUCGGAGACACCUAUAGAGCACCUUUAUAAUCACCCAGUUACGUUGUGACGUUUGGUAGCACACAAAGUGUUCCUCCGGUAUUCGGAAGUUGCAUAAUCUCAGUCAUAGGAACAUGUAUAAGUCAUGAAGAAAGGAAUAGCAAUAAAACUGUAACGAUCACAAUGCUAAGCUAAUGAAUGGGUCUCGUCCAUCACAUCAUUCUCCUAAUGAUGUGAUCCCGUUCAUCAAAUGACAACACAUGUCUAUGGCUAGGAAACAUAACCAUCUUUGAUGAAUAAGCUAGUCAAGUAGAGGCAUACUAGGGACACAUUGUUUUGUCUAUGUGUUCACACAUGUAUCAAGUUUCCGGUUAAUACAAUUCUAGCAUGAAUAAUAAACAUUUAUCAUGAAAUAAGGAAAUAAAUAAUAACUUUAUUAUUGCCUUUAGGGCAUAUUUCCUUCAGGACUUUGAGGGAGGGGGAGGGCCGCCUGGUGGGGAGUCGCUCCCCCGUGCCGACUGGCCAGGGCCUGCCUUCUUCUGGCUUCUCACGGACAGGUAGGGCCCGCCGCCUGCGGACCGUACCGACAGCCCGUAGUGGGAGCAUGGCCUCCUCUGUCAUGGGUGAUGUCAUGGGCUGCGUGGCAACAGUGUUGCGCGGGGCGAGAGAUGUCCGCCCAGUACGCUGCACUGUGGCCACGCUCGCCCUGGAUUCGGGGGUGGCAGGCUGUACUAUAGCCACGCCCGUCUCGUCGUGAUGAUGUGGAUGCUAACUUCAAGGGAGCGGAGGGGGCCGCCUGCUAGGAGUCGGCCCACCUCGUGGCCGCCAUGGGGUUGCCGCCUUCCAGCAACCGACCGCUUGGACCAGCCGGCACCAAGAAGGCGGCUCUUCGUCUUUGAGGCUUGAGGGGCGGAGCCAGCCCUGAUGUCUUGAAAUACCUCGGGAGACUGAUGGGGCUACAUGUGGUCAUUUACUCCGACAGUAGUUCCCGGAGCUGGUGGGGUGCCGCGGCUGAAAAAGGCGAGGAGCCUCAGCAGCUUCCUACUCUGAGUGAUCUGAUUACUUUGCUUCGUCCGUCUUCCGGGCGCCGACUGGUGGGCGUCGGGCGCGACCAGGCAGGCCGCCUGGUGAUUACGAAUCGUCGCGGCGGGAGCCAGGUGGCACGCUAGCCGGGCACCAGGCUUGCCGCCCGCUGCCCGCACACCACGCGGCGCCAGCCAGCCGGGCCAGCCUGCCAGCCCACGCGCGCAACGGGACGUCGCUGCAGGCUGGGGCCCGCCACUACCGUGCCUCGGCGAGCGCGCGGAUCCGCUGCGGCCGAGGCGGACGGUUAGGAUUCCGUGGCGCAGUAACUACUAGUCGUUACUGCGCGGUAAAUGCGGGGUUGUGGGGUCGUCGGCGUAGUUAAUCCCACGACCCCCCACGUUCUCGCCCCCUCGGCUGCGCCGCCUGGGGCUAUAAGUAGGGGGAGGAGGGGGCGGUAGACGCAUGCGCGCCCUCCUCUCCCUUCUCCUUUCUUCUUCUUACUGCUGCCGUAGCGCUCCCGCCUCUCGUCGGAACGCCGCCGCAGCCCAUCAUUGCCAAGCUUAUCCUCCCGCGGCGUCGCUGCUCCACCACGGGCUCGCUCGUUCGUCGCCGCGCCGCGCCUCCGUCGGGCCCAAGCUCUCAUGGCGUGCGAACUGGCCGGCGCUUGGGAUGGCUCCAACGUCCACGAGGAUCACCUCGCCUUCCUCCGCCAGACGCGGUGGCUGCCCGACGAGAACUACGUAUGGGUACGCGUUCCGCGCGAGACGGAGAUCUCGCCGGCGCCGGAGGACGGCGAACGUGUCAUCUUCCGGUCGCAUUUCCUUCGGGGCCUCGGCCUGCCGGCGAGCGACUUCUUCCGCUCCUUUCUACAAUUUUAUCGGCUCCAGCCGCACCACCUCACACCGAACACGGUGGUGCUGAUGUCCGCCUUCGUCACGCUCUGCGAGGGCUACCUCAGCGUUCUCCCCACCCUCGAGUUCUGGGGGAGUUCUUCUACACCAAGCUCGGCACCGCCGCCAAGAAGGAGGUGGCUCAGUGCGGAGCCUUCAUCGCGGUGCGGCGCCCAGGCGCUGGGAACUGCUUCCCAGCCAUCAGCUUGACGCAGUCGGUCAAGAUGUGGCAAAAAUCUUACUUCUAUGUCAAGAACAUCCACCCGACGCAGGACUUCGUCAAUCUGCCGGCUUAUACAGCCGGCCCGCCGACUGAGCCCCGCACCAACUGGACCUUCAAGCCGAGGACUCUCUCGGUCGCCUCCACCGCCGCCAUCACCCGGUUCAAGGUGAUGACGGAGUCGGAGGGCCUCAAGGCGUCAGACCUGCUGACCGCCUUCGUGGUGCGCUGGGUGCUCCUCUUCAAUUCCGACCUCACAUGAUCAGCCGGAUGAGCGGGCACCAAGACCCGUGCCGGAUGUGCACCAAGGAGGAGGUGGCCCGGCUGGUGAAUUACAUCUCGAACUGCAAACUCUCGGAGGCGGAGUGGCAGUUUGGCAAGCGGCCAUACUCCCGCGCAGACCCGCCGCCCACGGUGAGUCCUUAACUCUUUUUUCUCUUUAUUUGCCGGGUUCUGCUUUGCCGCCUGAUCAGUCGGUCACAAUGUAGAUCCUCACAUCCCAGCCGGCAGCCGGCAGCCGACGCCCUGGAACGGGGUCAUGAGUAUCUGCCGGACCGGUCAGUGAGUGACGCGGACGACCCCGACUUGGGGGCGGCCGCUAUGGAGGAGGACGACGCCACAUGCGGUGGUGUCGGAGCAGGCGGCUCCGGAGGAGGCAGCGUCGAGGAUUGGCCAGAUGACGACGACGAGGAGGCCGAGCUGCGUUGCCCGCAGGGCGCCAAUAAGGCGGGCGCGAGCUCCUCGGUGGCACCGAACGCACCAGGCGGCGCGCCGAAGCGCUGAGCCGACUCGUUGCUGUUCGGCAUCCGGCUGAAGAAGCUGAAGAACCCGGCCGCUACGACCAAACGGCGAGAGACCGUCGCGAAGGCGGCCCAGUUCCAGAGGACCCCGAGGCAGCCCUCGACGGUGUUUGCGUAAGUGCUUGACUCUUCUUGUGUUUUCCUUUCUUCUUUCUUGCAAACUUUUUCUGAGUUUCUUCUUUUCUUGCUUGAACAGGGCCCCGCUCUCUCUUCAGCGGUCGGCCUCUGCUUCCCUGACCGGGGCGGCGGAAGGAUCCGCCAACACCCGCCGUGUAGACCCGCUCACUGAUCUUCAGGAGCCGACGGAGAAGAACGUGCGGGAGGCACGCGAGGAGAGGGAGGAGGCGGAAUGGCAGAGGGUGGAAGCGGCCAAGGCGACGUAGGAGGAGGCGGACACGGCGGCCAAGGCCGAGGACGACGCUGCGGCUAAGGCCCAGGCGGAUGCCGCGACCAAAGCCCAGGCAGACGCGGCCGCCAAGGCACAAGCGGAAGAGGCCACCUGUGGCUGGACUCCGCGGCUUGUCAUCCCUCUGCGCUGCGCGCCACCCGCGCCCGAGAUCCCGGUGCCGACUGGAGGAGCCGGCCACGACCAGCCGGUCAUGGAGAGGGGACGGGGCGACAUCAUCAUCUUGGGGGCGGAGGUGCCCCCACAAGCGCCGACUUUCGAGGCCCAUGGCAGUCGGCCUGACGUGCCACUGGCGCCGCCAGCCAGCGGCGAGCUGGUGGCGGGGGCUUCUCCCGUGGUCCGCACUUCGGUGCGGCGGCGCAUGGCGAAGGCGAUCUCGGCGCCACGGCCGCAGGAGAUCGGGGCCGCGAGCUCGUCGGCCCCUGAAGCAGAGGCCACCAGCGCCGCCCCCUAGAGUUGACGCUAGGAGGCGGGACAGGAGUCCUGAACACAGCUGCGCACGACAUUCAGGCCCAGUUCCAGGCCCGAAACGCCGCCCUCCAGCAGUAUAUGAAGGCGAUUUUGGCGACGCGAGCAGCCGUCCGAGUCUGUUUCUUGUGCCUUGUUUUCGAUUCCUGUAAUCUUUCGUGGGGCCGCGCCAGCGCACCCACUGGGUGUAGGCCCUGAGUUCCGGGCCGGCUGCUGAGCAGGCGACUCGGAACUUAAAGGUAAGUUCUGAGUGCUGACUUUUUCUUUUCUUCUGUUGUCUUUGUUGCUGGAUUACCACAACAUCCGCGCGGCCGCCUCCAACUCCCAGGUCCGGGAUCUGGCCAAGCGGACCGCCGACUUGUCCGACAGCCGGAGUAAGUCUUCAUCUUUUCUCUCUUCCGGGGGCGCGCCAGCGCACCCGCUGGGUGUAGCCCCCGAGAUUCGGGCCGACUGCUGAGCAGUCGGGCCGGAUCUCCUGGCAACCACUUUUCUUCUUUGUUGAUUGUUGAUUGUCUUUUCUUUCUCGUCCUUGCAGGAGCCAAUGCCACCUUGCAGCAGCAGCUGGGGGAAGCCCAAACCGCGCUAUGCACCAAGGAGGAGGAGUGCCGCAAGGCGGCCGAGGAGCGCGACCGCCUGGCCCAGAAGGUGGCGAACCAAGCGGACCAGCACAAGGCGGAGCUCCAGAAGCUCAAGGAGGCGGAGGACGCCCUCAUGGCCGAGUUCGAGACUCAGCGCUCGAACUGGGUCGAGAAGGAGAAGGCUCUAUCCGACGGUUACAGCCAGAUCGAGGACAUGCUCGAUGGUGAGUUGUCCUUUCCUUUCUUUUGCCUGCCGACUUCUCAUAUGAGCCGGCUUCCGACUUCAUAAUUAUUUUUCCUUCUUGCAUAGAGUACUUUCCUGGUCACGCCGUUGCCGCUAGUCAGGCCGUCGAGGCUCGCCGCGACAAGCGAAGGCUGGCUGGAGCAGAAAUCGCGCCCAACGCCCCACGGACCCUCGGCGAGCAGCUUCUUGCCGUUCAAGCUCGUCUCCAGCCGGCACAUCGGGCGUUCCGUCGUCUGCAGCGUGCCGGAGCUCAGGUGGUUUGCACCCUCUGGCCGGGUGUUCUAGCUCUGCGCACCCCCAGUCGGACCUCCACUGGUUAGAAAUGGCUAUCGGCCGCUUCGAGGCGUGGAAGGGCUCCGCAGCCCGGGAAGGCGCACGACGGGCCUUGGAGUUCGUCAAGGCAUGGUACCCUGGGUUGAGCCUAGCCCAGUUGGCCACGUUCCGGCUUGAAGCUGGCGAAGAGUUAGCGGCGGUGGCGCCCGCGCUCUAUCAUCGUGCCGCAGCGAUCGCCGAGUACACUGAUACCAGUGUCUUCCUCCUUGAGCUAGACGAGGAGGGUGCCGAGGUGCCGCCCAAUUGGUUCGGGCUGAACCCAGAAGGCGGCGAGGACUCGGUGGAGGAGAUCGCCUCCAGCGAUGAGGGUGAGGAAGAGGAGGGCGAGGACGGCGAAGACAAUGCGCCGGAUGAUGGAGCCGACAACCAGCCUCAACCCGACCAAGUCUCGACCAACGAGUUGCGUGCCGGUGAGCCGACUGCUGCUGGUGCUGACCAGGCCGAGACCAACUAGUCGGCGGUUCCACCACCCAGAGCCUCGACUUCCGCCGACCCCUCCGAUCCGGCUGCUGCUCCUCUGGCCUAGGCAACCGAGUUAUCUUUCUUUCCUGUUUUGUAAUCUCUCGAACAAACUUCUGUUGAAUGCUGGCCAAGGGCCUUUUGCUAUGUAAAUUAACUUUGCCCAGUUCCAACUUGUCUUGCUUUUAUGCUCUUUUGGCUUUUUCCUUUGCCACCCUCCCUUGCCCGCCGCCUUGCCAGCCAAACAGCCGCUCUGCGGUCUGUGGCUGGGUCAAGUACUUGGCCAAUUUUUGGGAAGGCAAGUACUUUGGCCGCUCUAGAGCGUAGCAAGUUAAGUAAGAAGCCGGUCGCCGGCUGCUCAGCAGCCGGUCAGAGAGGCGAGGGGCCGGCUUGACCUAUGUGAGUGCUUUGGUCCUUAGCCAAUUUUUCGUGUGGGCACCACUUCCUGCCUUUAACUCCUGCCAGUCGAACAGUCGCUCUGCGAGCUGCGGCUUGUGGCAAGAGAAAGCUAAGGUGCCAGCACACUACUUGUCCGACUACAGGUAGCACCGACAUAGUACAAGGCGGCAAGCCCCCGGGGCGACUGGUCGAACCCGGUGCCAGGCAGAAUAACGAGAUAACACAUUCAUAGGCAUAAAAACUUAUCAUAUAGAUAAAAGGGUAGCCCGACCCGAUGUCUUAGCGCUUAAUACAAAGGGUAGCGUGGUACAUACUGCGUCAACUGUAAAAUCUGCGGAGGAGAUUUGCAUUCCAUGGAUGCUCCGAUUCCUUGCCAGAGUCGUCUCUCUUGCGUGCUCUAGGCUUUUGUGUGUUGAUGAGGUAGUAGGAGUCAUUGCCCAAAGCCUUGCUGAUGAUGAAGGGGCCUUCCCAAGGGGCCGAGAGCUUGCGCUGGCCGGCUGUUUGCUGGAUCAGCCGGAGCACAAGGUCUCCCUCUUGGAAGGAUCUUGGCUUGACCUUCCUACUGUGGUAGCGGCGCAGGCUCUGCUGGUAGAUGGCGGACCGACUGAGUGCCAACAACUGGCCCUCUUCCAGCAGAUCGACACCGUCCUCUCGUGCUUCCUUCGCCUCCGCUUCCGUGUACAUGGUGACGCGAGGUGAGUCGAACUCAAUGUGAGUUGGGAUGACAGCCUCGGCCCCGUACACGAGAAAGAAUGGAGUGAAGCCGGUUGACUUGUUCGGAGUGGUGCGCAGACUCUAGAGGACGGCCAGCGGCUCGUCGAUCCUGCAGUCGGCCGAGCACUCCAGAGGCUCGACCAGUCGGGGUUUGAUGCCGGACAAGAUGAGGUCGUUUGUUCGCUCGACUUGGUCGUUUGACUACGGAUGGGCAACGGACGCUAAGUCCAGUCGGAUGGCCUGUGUCACGCAGAAACGGGCCAAGGCGCCUUUGGCAAAAUUUCUGCCAUUGUCGGUGAUGAUGCUGUGUGGUACACCAUACCAGACGGUGAUAUCUGCGAUGAAAGUCACCGCAGUCGGACCAUUCAGUUUCUUGAUUGGCUUCGCUUCAAUCCACUUGGUGAGCUUGUCUACGGUGACCAGCAGAUGGGUCAUGCCGCCGUGUGCUGUCUUGAAUGGUCCCACCAUGUCCAGCCCCCCACACGGCAAAGGGCCAAGUGAGGGGGAUGGUCUUGAGUGCAGAAGCCGGCAGAUGUUGCUUAGAGCUGAAUUUCUGGCAUCCCUUGCAAUGCUUGACCAAGUCCUUGGCGUCCUCCAAAGCAGUCGGCCAGAAGAAACCAUGGCGGGAAGCUUUGGCGACAAGGGAUUUGGAGGCCGCGUGGUGGCUGCACUCGCCUUGAUGGAUAUCUUUGAGGAUUGCCUUGCCCUUCUUUGGCUCUAUGCAGCGCUGGAAGACUCCAGUCACGCUGCGUUUGACAAGCUCUCUGUUUACUAUCGUGUAGGCUCCUGCUCAGCGCUGCACUUGCCGAGCCGAGAUCUCAUCAGCUGGCAGCUCUCUGUUCACCGGGAAUUUAAGGAUGGGAUGCGCCCUGAUACGUCUCCAACGUAUCUAUAAUUUUUUAUUGCUCCAUGCUAUAUUAUCUACUGUUUUGGACAUUAUUGGGCUUUAUUAUUCACUUUUAUAUUAUUUUUGGGACUAACCUAUUAACCGGAGGCCCAGCCCAGAAUUGCUGUUUUUUUGCCUAUUUCAGAGUUUCGCAGAAAAGGAAUAUCAAACGGAGUCCAAACGGAAUGAAACCUUCGGGAACGUGAUUUUUAGGAAGAUUAUGAUCCAGGAGACUUGGACCCUACGUCAAGAAACAAAGGAGGAGGCCACGAGGUAGGGGGCGUGCCUACCCCCAGGGCGCGCCCUCCACCCUCGUGGGCCCCCUGUUGCUCCACUGACGUACUCCUUCCUCCUAUAUAUACCUACGUACCCCCAAACGAUCAGAUAUGGAGCCAAAAACCUAAUUCCACCGCCGCAACCUUCUGUACCCACGAGAUCCCAUCUUGGGGCCUGUUCCGGAGCUCCGCCGGAGAGGGCAUACAUCACGGAGGGCUUCUACAUCAACACCAUAGCCUCUCCGAUGAAGUGUGAGUAGUUUACUUCAGACCUUCGGGUCCAUAGUUAGUAGCUAGAUGGCUUCUUCUCUCUUUUUGGAUCUCAAUACAAUGUUCUCCCCCUCUCUUGUGGAGAUCUAUUCGAUGUAAUCUUCUUUUUGCGGUGUGUUUGUUGAGGCCGAUGAAUUGUGGGUUUAUGAUCAAGAUUAUCUAUGAACAAUAUUUGAAUCUUCUCUGAAUUCUUUUAUGUAUGAUUGGUUAUCUUUGCAAGUCUCUUCGAAUUAUCAGUUUGGUUUGGCCUACUAGAUUGAUCUUUCUUGCAAUGGGAGAAGUGCUUAGCUUUGGGUUCAAUCUUGCGGUGUCCUUUCCCAGUGACAGUAGGGGCAGCAAGGCACGUAUUGUAUUGUUGCCAUCGAGGAUAACAAGAUGGGGUUUUUAUCAUAUUGCAUGAAUUUAUCCCUCUACAUCAUGUCAUCUUGCUUAAGGCGUUACUCUGUUUUCAUGAACUUAAUACUCUAGAUGCAUGCUGGAUAGCGGUCGAUGAGUGGAGUAAUAGUAGUAGAUGCAGGCAGGAGUCGGUCUACUUGUCUCGGACGUGAUGCCUAUAUACAUGAUCAUACCUAGAUAUUCUCAUAACUAUGCUCAAUUCUGUCAAUUGCUCAACAGUAAUUCGUUCACCCACCGUAAAAUACUUAUGCUCUUGCGAGAAGCCACUAGUGAAAUCUAUGGCCCCCGGGUCUAUUUUCAUCAUAUUAAUCUUCCAAUACUUAGUUAUUUUCUUUGCUUUUACUUUGCUUUUAUUUUACUUUGCGUCUUUAUCACAAAAAUACCAAAAAUAUUAUCCUAUCAUAUCUAUCAGAUCUCACUCUCAUAAGUGACCGUGAAGGGAUUGACAACCCCUUAUCGCGUUGGUUGCGAGGAUUUAUUUGUUUUGUGUAGGUGCGAGGGACUCGCGCGUAGCCUCCUACUGGAUUGAUACCUUGGUUCUCAAAAACUGAGGGAAAUACUUACGCUACUUUGCUGCAUCACCCUUUCCUCUUCAAGGGAAAACCAACACGGUGCUCAAGAGGUAGCACGCCCAUGAUGGUGCUUUGAUUUCUUGUACUGCUAUCACGACCACUUGGACUAGGGCGGUUGGGUUGGGAGGCGGCGGGUUGGAGUCGACCGCCGCUUGCUGCGUUGUUGAAGUCCCCGGGCCGACUGCUGCAGCCCCCGGGCCGGGUUGUGAAGUCCCCGGGCCAGGUGCGACUGCUGCAGUCCCCGAGUCACCUGCCGAAGUCCCCGGGCCGGGUGCGGCUGCUGCAGUCCCCGAGCCGCCUAUCAAAGUCCACGGGCCAACUGCUGCAGCCCCCGAGUUGGAUCCGACUGUUCCGAGAGCAGCCGGCACAAAGAUAGACUCUGAUUCUGGCGAAGGCUUGAUAAAUGGCUUGAGGAGGCGCUGAAGGUAGACGCUGGCUGGUAUGGCUUGCCAGGUGGAGCCGAUCCGUGCCAGGGCAUCUGCUUGCUCGUUGUCGUUUCGUGGCACGUGAAGGAACUCGCACCCUUUAAAAUAUCCGCUGAGUUGCUGGACGAGGAAGCAGUAGCUCGCCAUAUUUGCAUCCUUGGCGUCCUAGUCACCAGACGACUGCUGGACCACCAAAUCUGAGUCGCCGUAGCAUAGGAUCCGGCGGAUGCCGAGUUCUUUGGCCAGCCGGAGUCCAUGGACAAGCGCCUCAUACUCGGCCACGUUGUUGGAGGCGGCAAAAUGGAUUUGCAAUGUGUAUCUCAGCUUGUCGCCUUUGGGAGAGGUAAGGACAAUGCCGGCUCCCAAGCUGGUGCGCAUCUUCGAGCCAUCAAAGUGCAUCCGCCAAUGAGUGGAGUCCGGAGCUGGUGGUAGGUACUGGGUCUCGGCCUAGUCAACGAGGAAGUCGGCCAGUGCUUGGGACUUGAUGGCGGUACGUGGCUGGUAGAAGAUGGUGUAGGGGGCCAGCUCGAUGGCCCAUUUGGCCACUCGGCCUGAUGCAUCUCUGCUGCCUAUCAUCUCGGCAAGCGGGGCGGUGCAGACAACCGUGAUGGGGUGCUCUUGGAAGUAUGGCUUGAGCUUCUUGGCGGCAAAGUGCAUGUCGUAGCACAUCUUCUGGUAAUGGGGGUAGUUCUGCUUGGAGGCUGACAGCACCUCGCUCAAGUAGUACACAGGCCUCUGGAUCAGCAGUGCUUUGUCGUCUUCUUUGCGCUCUACCACCACGACAGUGCUGACCACCCGGCUGGUGGCGGCAAUGUAGAGGAACAUGGGCUCCUUAGCAGCUGGGGCGGCCAGAGCAGGCGGCGUGGUCAAUAUCUUCUUGAUCUGGAGAAAAUCCUCGUCCUCCUUGUCGUUCCACUCAAAGUGAGUGGUUUUCUUCAUGAGUUGGUACAGGGGAAGAGCCUUCUCGCCAAGCCGACUGAUGAAGUGGCUGAUGGAUGCCAGGCAGCCGGUGAAUUUUUGGACGUCUCGCAGUCGGGUGAGCCUCUCCAUCCUCUCGAUGGCUUUGAUCUUUACAGGUUUGCACUUAAUGUCGCGCUCUGAGACUAGGAAGCCAAGGAGUUGGCCGGCUGGUACUCCAAAGAAGCAUUUCUCUGGGUUGAGCUUGAUCUGAAAACGGCGCAGAUUUUCAAAAGUUUCCUUGAGAUCUUCCAAGAGGGUAUUGCGCUUCUCCGUCUUCACCACAAUAUCGUCUACAUAGACGUGGGCAUUCCUGCCGAGUUGCUUGAGGAGGCACUUCAGCAUGCAAGGCUGAAAUGUGGCACCAACAUUUCUCAAGCCGAAUGUCAUGGUCAGGUAGCAGAAGGCUCCGAAUGGUGUGAUGAAGGCGGUCUUCAACCUGUCGGCCGGGUUCAACUUGAUCUGGUGCUACCCUGAGUAGGCAUCCAAGAAACUCAGCAGCUCGCAUCCGGCUGUGGAGUCUAUCACUUGGUCAAUCCGAGGCAAGGCAAACGGAUCUUUGGGGCAAGCUUUGUUGAGGCUGGUAUAGUCAAUACACAUGCGCCACUCGUUGUCCUUCUUCAGUACAAGGACUGGGUUGGCAAGCCACUCUGGAAAGAACACUUCCAUAAUGAAGCCGGCUGCUAGAAGCCGGGCUAUCUCUUCACCAACAAUUCUUCUCUUCUCCUCUGACAGGCGGCGGAGGGGUUGCUUGACUGGUUUUGCAUCUGCUCUGACAUGUAGCUUGUGCUCGACGAAAUCCGUCGGGACACCCGGCAUGUCCUUGGGAGACAAUGCGAAGAUGUCCUGAUUCUCAUGAAGGAAAUCAACGAGCUCGCCUUCCUAUUUGCUGUCGAGGUGAGUGUCGGCGUUCUGGGAACGGGGGUCCCCAGACUUGCCUGCCUGUGGCCCACGGCGUGGCUGUGCUGCAGGCCUGUACGACCCAUCUUCGUCAACAAGGCUUUCAAGACCCUCGCGAGGGGCCAAGCCUCGCGAGGCGGACAACGCGAGACCUCCUCAGGAGCGGCCUCACCAGGCUGCCUCGCGAGGAGCGCAGAUAUCAAGGCAGGGCAAACCUCGCGAGGCUCUCGUGACGUGAGCCAUGACGAUCAAGAUCAGGCGGGCGCCAACGCGCGCAGCGUCCUUGUUUCCUCUUUGGUGCUAAGGAGGCCAGCGCAGGCGCGGAGUACCGAGGCAUCAGGCAAAGAUUUCCAUAUCAGUGCAACAAGACCAAGACCAGCCGGACGGUAGGACGGAGGUCACCGUGGAGCCCGAGACGGCGUCACCACCAGAGCUUUCCGCAGACGAAGACCGUUUUUGUGAGGAUAAGUUGUACUAGCUGUCCCCUUUCAAAUUGGCCGUUGUUGGCUCCCUUCCCGCUCAAUAUUUGGGGAGAGCACCAGGGCCUAUAUAAGUAGAACUAGCCACCACAAUAGGGGGCAGCUUGAUCUCAUCUGAUCGAGAGCCAAUCCUUAGCCACACACCGAACACAAGAACACCCAAACCUCAGGAGGCUGUUCUUCCCCUUGUACUGUUCAUCAUCAGCCCAAGAGGCAAUCCACCACCACCACACUGGAGUAGGGUAUUACACCACAACGGUGGUCCGAACCAGUAUAAAUCUUGUCUUUGUGUUGCGAGUUUGUCGAGUUCGUCCGCGAGAUCUUAGCGAGCUAGGGCGUAGAUCGGUAGGGAGGAAAUCUCUGCGCCCACCACAGUGUUCGAACCUUGAGGGUUUUGCCGGAACCCAUGAUCCGACAUUUGGCGCGCCAGGUAGGGGUGCGCCAGAGCUUCCUUUCCGUCGUUCGCGCCCAGUUGCUUCGUCGUCUCCAUGGCGGACGCUCGCCGUGCUCGCGCUGAGCGCCGGGCUGCCCUGGCCACCCGCGUCGCUCGAACGGCUCCCGUCGGUGGGCCACCUCGUCGCUCUCCGUCUCCUGCCGCCAACGCCACCACUGGCCCGGCGGGGAACGAGCAGCAGGCGUCCUCGUUGCACCCCUCGGUGCGGCAGGACGGCCGCACCGCCACUCCGUCGCUGACCCCAGCCAGGUCAUCAUCUCACGCUUGUCGCGCUCCCAUGGACGCACGGGCCGUGCUCCUCAUGGUGCAUGAGCUCCUGCGCUACCGCCCGGUCGACGACCUCUACGAGGACUGGCUCGACCGCAUCGCCGAACUUUUCCACGCCGCAGGGGGCUCCCCUGCGCCGUCCCUCUCUCUACCUGGCCCUCCGCCAGCUUCAGGCGACGCAGCUCACGGAGCGCCUCCACCGCCUCUGCCCCAAGAUGGCGCCUUGGCACCAAGGCGUGCGCCGCCGCGACGCGAUCCGCCGCGUCCGGCGCCCGCGCGUGAAGAAGGAAGCUGCCAAGAAGUUCCUCGACCACAAGAGAAUGCCCCGCCACUACUCGCACCACCGCGCCAGGAUCGUCUGCCGCGGCAGGCUCCCGCGCCGCUUGCCGUAGCGGCGCGUGGGCAUCAAGACCAGGCUCCACCUCCAAGGCGGGCCCCAGCAACCACGGCCGGUUGCCGCGCCUUCACCCCGAGCUGCGUAGCGUCGCCUGGCCGGGCAAGUUCAAGCCAGAUCUGCCUCCUCGCUACGACGGCACCAUCGACCCUGCGGAGUUUUUGCAGCUCUACGAGUUGAGCAUCGAGGUGGCCAACGGCAACGAGAAAGUCAUGGCGAACUGGUUCCCUAUGGCGCUCAAAGACGGCGCCCGUUCGUGGCUCCUGAACCUACCUCAGGGCUCGAUCUCCUCCUGGGACGAGAUGCGCGACCGCUUCGUCGCCAACUUCCAGGGCACUCGCGACCGCCCGCCGGCCGCGGGUGACCUGCGCCGCAUCAAGAAACAACCAGGAGAGACCCUCCAGAAGUACAUCCAGCGCUUCAACAACACUCGCCUCAAGAUCCCCAAGGUCACGGUCGAGGCCAUCAUCUCCGCGUUCUCUGACGGCGUCCGUGACAUCAAAAUGAAGGAGGAGCUCGCUAUCCAUGAGGAGCUGUGCACAUCUCAGGAGCUGUUCAACCUGGCGACCAAGUGCGCAAGAGCUGAGGAGGGGCGCCUAUCCCUCCUCGAGCUGCCAGCUACGGGCCCGGAGGAGAAGAAAGCCAAGGCCAAGGAUGUGAAGCGCAAGGAGGCAGCCGUGCUCGCAGCGGAGCCGGGCACCAAGCGAGGCAGAGAUCAGCCCGAGUCAUCCAAGAGCAGCAGACCGUUCUGCGCCUUCCACAACCUGAACACCCACAACACCAGCGACUGUCAAGAGCUCAGAGCCAUUCGAGAAGGACGCUUCGGUCGACGCCCCGAGCGCAGCGACCGGGGCUACGGCCGAGGGGGAGGACGUGGUGGCGGAUGCUGGGACGACCGUGGCCCGCGCCAGGAGUGGCGCGACAGGCCUCGCGAGGACCGCUGGCAGGAUCAUCCUCGCGAGGGCGCCUGGAGAGACCAGCCUCGUGAGGAUCGUCCUCAGGGCAACGCUGGUCUUCCCCCGCUGCCACCACCGCCAAGAAGGAAUGACGACCACCAUUAGGACGAGGGGGCUGGGGGCUUCCAGGAGCCGCAUGCAAUCGCCUGCAUCUUGGGCGGAGCUCAGGCCCCAGCCUCGCAGCGUAUCUUCAAACAGUUUGCUCGUGAAGUGAAUGCAGUCCUCCCCAAGCUUGAGGCCACACACCCGCUUAGGUGGUCCCAGUGUGCCAUCACCUUCAACUCGGCAGGUCAGCUCAAGUGCGCAACCACCGCUGGCGCUCUCCCAAUGCUUUGUUCACUAGUCAUCAACAACGUGCAAGUUACCAAGACCCUCAUCGACGGCGGCGCAGGGCUCAACGUCCUGUCCGCCGACACGUUCGACAACCUCCAAGUGCCAUAUGACCAGCUUCAGCCCACCAAGCCUUUCUCAGGAGUGACCGAUGGCUCCACCACACCGAUAGGGCAAGUCCGCCUCCCUGUCACCUUUGGAGAGCGCAAGAACUACCGCACCGAGCUCAUCGACUUCGACGUCGCGCACAUCCGUCUGCCAUACAACGCCAUCCUUGGGUAUCCAGCCCUGGCCAAGUUCAUGGCAGUGACCCACCACGGCUACAACGUCCUCAAGAUGCUGGGAAGCGGCGGAAUCAUCACAGUCCCAUGCGAAGAAAGAGACGCGGUAUGCUCCCUUGAGCGUGCCUUUCAAGCUGCAGCAAUCGACGACCCCGACAGCCAGGGCGAUGGCCCUCCGGAAACCAUCCCCAAGAAGAAGAAGCAGUUGCGUCGUACCGGGCCUCAGGAGGGUGGCAACGCAGUUGGAGCCUCGUCAGGAUCAGCGCCCGCUCCAGGGGCGCCUCCCUCCAUCGCAUAGGAAGGCGCGCCCGGCGCCCUCCUCGGGCAGGGCUCGGGGGCUUUCUCCUUGAGGGCCUCAGACUUUGCCCACAUCAUGAGGGAGGCGCUCGGGCACCACUUGGAGGCGUGCUUCACGGCACGUUUCCCUCAGGAGAACACAGGACAAGGAGCGCCCACCGCUCAGGAGUUGAUCACCAAGACCACUCAGGAACUACAAGACGCAAGGACCAUGCACGGCGACCGCCGCUCGCGAGGCGCAGCUCCCCAUCCAGGCGAGGAUGCCGGGCUGCGCGUCUGCGUCGACGUCCCAGGGCUCAACAGGGCCGCCUCUCAGGAGCUUUUCUGGCCUUCGCGCGUGGGCCGGUGCGAGGGUCCACCGCACAGCUACAUUCGCAUGCCUUUUGGUUUGCCGAGCGUGUCGUUCGUCUACCAGCGCAACCUGCGGCGCGUGCUGGCGGCUCAGGAGGCCAGGCACCACGUUGUCCUGGCAGAGAUGGAAACGGUCCUCAGGGAACCGCCUGGGCCCCCAGAGCCUCCCGAGGCUCAGGGCCCUGGCGGCUCGUGAGGAGCAGCCUCCCCGUCGCGUACCUUUAGUUGCCCCGACAUCUCUUCAUCAACAGAACCAGGUGGCAUUUUCCAAGUUCAUUCAGCUCGGAGCGCCCCUCGGGCUGCAUCAUUCCCAGGCCGCGUGGGUCCGUCCCUGUGGCAUGUAUCCCUUUGCUUAUGUCUUUAGCUUACCUUGCUGGGGGCGCCCCUCGGGCUGCAUCAUCCCCAAGCCGCUCAGGCCUGACCCAAGUGGUGUGUAUCUUCCCGCAUUUACCCAAGCUGAUCUGCCUUUCAUGCUUAACCUGUCCAUGAUUAUCACCUGCUCGAUUGCCACCCGCCACGGGUCCACCCCUCCAUCAUGCAAUUCGCUUGCGCGUUAAAAGGGGAGCUCCUGAGCAUCGCGACUCAGGAGCUCUUACUGGCUCUCUAGCCCUCACCCCCUGGCCUUGACCACGGUAUCGUGACCUGGCAUACCAGCGGCGGCUGAGCUCGCUUGAGGGCCGGGACCUGAGGACGUAGAGCGCUUGGACCUAACCGCCUCGUAGGAAUAUACAGCUAUCAAGACCCAAGACCAGGCGCAACCCGCCUUGAGGUAGGGCCUCGUGAGUCCCGCGCUGGCUCAUGAGUGCCCAGAUACACCUCGCAGCCCUGCCGUGCAAGCCACGUGUCAGGGGGCUGUACACGCCCCGGGGGCUCCUCCCGGAGGGGGGCCCCCCUCCCACGCACAAGUGGAAGCACCAUGCUCCGUGCUGGCCGUCGACACUGCCGAGGAGCGGCUAUGCCCGUGCACAAGCGGAAGCCUGCGCUGGUGAUAAACAACUGAGGGCGGCUUCGUGGUCGUACCAACCUCAGGGAGCCCUAGAGCUCGGCGUCCGGCCUCACCGCAACGCCUCCCCUCGGGAGAGCCAUGCGAGGGGGCUGGGCACGGGGGCUGCGCUCGCGUCACGCCCAAGCGUACGCCACCCAACCAGGUCUCCCGGACCUGGGGGCUGCGCUCGGGUCACGCCCAAGCGCACGCCACCCAACCAGGUCUCCCAGACCUGGCCGUCGCACACCCCUCCCAAGGCCUCGGCGAGGGCAGGUAUGGAGAUUGUUUGCACGUCAAGGGGGACUCCUGAGCAUCGCGACUCAGGAGCCUAACUGGUCACGUAGCCCCUCACUCCUUGGUCCGUCCUGGUCUCCGGUCGGCCCAAUGGCGGUUGAGGUAUGCGCGGGGCCGGGCUCUGCCAACGUAGAACAUUAAUCUAUCCUCGCGUACUCUCCCUAUAAGUUGUUUGCGCGUCAAGGGGGACUCCUGAGCAUCGCGACUCAAGAGCCUAACUGGUCAUGUAGCCCCUCACUCCUUGGUCCGUCCUGGUCUCCGGUCGGCCCAAUGGCGGUUGAGGUAUGCGCAGGGCCGGGCUCUGCCGAUGCAGAACUCAAAGCGAAUGGGAAGAAAAUCGCAAAAUCUCGAAGCAAAUAUUACAAAACAUAUUGUCCUCACAAUAUCAAAUGAAAAGUUUAACGCCUCCACGAGGCCUGAUGCAUAUUACAGGAACGAAACAGGAGAGCAGCCGCAGGUCACCCCUGGACACCGCCAUCACCUGCAGAAGAUGCUCCUCCCCGGGUAACGUCGCCUUCACCUGCACCACCAGCCGCAGGAUCGGCGGCAUCGCCGGAUAAGGGCACGGAGGCAAAGCCGCGGAACUUCUUCAGCAGGGCCUCCACCUGACCUUGCACAGCUGCGGCGGCGGCUGCGCAGUGAUCAUCUGCCACAAGCUCCAGCAGCUCGUCAAGACAAGCGUUGGGGUCGCGGAGGUGCAGAUGGCUGAAGAUGUGAGUCAAUGCAGCUGAAGACAGGACGCGAGCUUCUGCCUCUGCCAUGGGACCGAUACCAUCUGCGACUUCCUCGAGCGCCUUCACCAAGAGGGGAAGCAGCAGGGCGGGGCCGUCCUCAUUGGUGGUCAGCGGCCUCUCCAAGCCGUGCUCGUAGAGUGUCUUCAGUGCCAUGCGAGACCUCUCCUCGAGAUCGGCAAAGGCCACGCGGUCUUCGGCCAGGACUCGCGCCUUGGCAUCAAGAUCGGCCUUCCUCACCUUCACAUUCCGCUCCAGCUCUUCCAGCCGGCUGUGCUCGGCGGCCUGCGUCUUCCCCAACUCCCCCAGCUCAGAGUCACGGUUCUUGACGGCAUCCUCCCGGGCCUUCAUCUCCUCCUCCUUCACCUGGCGGCCGCGUGCUUCUUCGGCGUGCUUGUCGUGCAGGCUCUUCAGCUCAUCCUCCAGCUCUUGGCAGCGGUCACGGGCGGCCUUGGCGUCUUUCAGUGCUGCCUCACGAUCGGCUGCAGCAUUGGCAGUGCUCUGCUUCUCCUUCUUGGAAGACGUCGCGGCCUGGCUCAGUAUUGCGCGAACCGCCGAGUCGGAGUGAAGCCAGCCAGAGGCCAGCUCCAAGCACCCGGCCACCAGGCGCGGGUCCGCGCUCAGGAGAUCUGCCUGCAACUGGGUCAUCUCCAAAAGAGCACGCUCCAGGACAGCAGCAGAGGCAGAAGAACCUGGGAGUGGAGGUGCAGCAGUGGGAGGAGACGACGCCGUCACCAGGGCCUAGGAGACUGCGGGUUCCGGAGCGGUCGGGACCUCUUCAGCCGAGCCAGACGCCGGCACCUCCGGGGCCAGCGGGGCCAUGGGGGCUGACUCCUCCGAGUGAUGCUCCUCUUGGCCUCGCGAAGACGACAGGGCUGGGGAGGUGCGAGCGCUGACGUCUCCUUUCUCAGCAGAAGGGGACGCAGCCGCCGUACCCUCCUUCCUCCUCUUCGCCGCAGACGACGGCCUGCUCAACCGAGGAUGAACGUCAGGAGGCGGUGACAUGAGCAAAAACAAGACGGAGAUCGAGCACUUACUGAUCCACCACGGUGUAUUCCACCCUCCGCUUAAGAAGCUUGAAGCCUGAAAGCGUCGGGGCCUGAGAAGUGGGCGCGUGGGCUCCAUCGACAGAAGGCGGCGCAACAGAAGGGUCGGAGCCGGCCCCAGGAGGCGUCAAGACGGAAGCAGCAUCUCGAGGAACCAACGACGACCUACCCCUUGUCGGGAUGAGGGGCUGCUCCCUCUCCUCCUAUCGAGCGUCGGUCUCGGCGUCGUCUGGCAGGGCGCAGAGGAUCUCGGCCUUGCUUAGAGGAGGAGUCUCCCCCACCUCUUCAAGAUUCUUCUCCAAGUCCACCUCCUCUUCCUCCUCCCCACGGGACUCGUCAGAAGAUAGCUCCACCAGCUUCGGCGCCGCCGGGGCUCCGGAGAGCGCAGGCGGCACCAGCCCGCGCGCAUCAAAGGUCGGCCUGGAAGCCACGAGUGGCUCCCAGUCCUUGCGGAGGAACAAAGGAGUGAAGGCACUCGGCGGGCACUCCUGGUUAUCCCCAACCAGGAGGCGCAGGACAGCAGCCAGUUCGUCGUCAGGCAGGGCCCCCGGCCUCAGGUGGGUUUUGUCUUCUUCAUCUCUGAGCUUCCACAAGGGGCGCGCACGCACCUGGAGCGGGGCAACGCGCAACAUCAGGAAUUGCCUCAGGAGCAUGGCCCCUGUGACCUUCGUCGCCUUCGCGUUGCCCGGCUUCAGGUCGGUCUGCACCUAUGCCAACACUAACGACGCCCGCUCGUUAGCAAGCUCUGCGCAAGGCCACCCCUUGUUAAACUGGGGUGCCUCCGUCGGCAAUGCCAAGCGCGGGUGGACGCGCUUGGCAUCCAUCAUGACCCAUUUGGCCCGGAUGUUGUCGGCUCUCUUCCCGGUGUUCGAGAUCGAGUUGGCCUUGCCAGAUGCGACGAAAUUGGCGCACCCAGAGACGUGACCAUCGCUGACGCGAAGGAAGAAGAAGUGGCGCAGGAGAGCCACGGACGGUAUCACGCCCAGAUACGCCUCGCAGUAGUAGGAAAAAAGAUGGACAAGAGGAGGAUAGAGUUGGGAUGAAGAUGCAGCGCAUGCAGCCCGAAGUGGUCGAGGACCUCGAAAAAGAAAUCGGAGAAGGGAGGAACCAACCCGGCGGAGAUGCUUCUCGAGAAGAAGGGGAAGAAGGUGCUUCCCUCAGGUUCCGGCGCGUCGGAGGCAAGCCGGAGCUCCGUCUUCCCCCAUUCAUUGCUAUCCCCCGCCGUCAGCAAGCGCGUGGAGGCGAGGCUCUUCUUCCGUAACGUUGGGCUCUUCAAGAGCCGACUCGUACCAAGUCGGCACCGAGGAGGGCUUGACCUUGCGCGACGCCAUCUGUCGCGGUCUGGAGGUAUCGGCAGCAAAGAGCGAGAAGGGGAUCUGAGGCUAGGCGAAGGGGAACAGUGAAGGCAAGCGCUGCCUGCGCCAGCCUUUUGUCAAGUCGAGUAGUUGUCGAGGCCGCGUGGGAAAGUGGAGACGCCCACGUCCAAUCAACCGCCAUGCGUCGACCAAGGCCGCAGGCUUUUGGGGCCUGCGGCGCUCCGCGCUUGACCUUUGGCUUCACCGCGAAGCCAAGCCCGAGCGCACCUUGGGCCCGGGGGCUACUGUCGGUGUUCUAGGAACGGGGGUCCCCAAACUUGCCUGCCUGCGGCCCACGGCGUGGCUGUGCUGCAGGCCUGUACGGCCCAUCUUCGUCAACAAGGCUUUCAAGACCCUCGCGAGGGGCCAAGCCUCGCGAGGCGGAUGACACGAGACCUCCUCAGGAGUGGCCUCACCAGGCUGCCUCACGAGGGGCGGAGAUAUCAAGGCAAGGCAAACCUCGCGAGGCUCUCGUGACGUGAACCAUGAUGAUCAAGAUCAGGCGGGCGCCGGCGCGCGCAGCGUCCUUGUUUCCUCUUUGGUGCUAAGGAGGCCAGCGCAGGCGCGGAGUACCGAGGCAUCAGGCAAAGGUUUCCAUAUCGGUGCAACAAGACCAAGACCAGCCGGACGGCAGGAUGGAGGUCACCGUGGAGCCCGAGACGGCGUCACCACCAGAGCUUUCCGCAGACGAAGACCGUUUUUGUCAGGAUAAGCUGUACUAGCUGUCCCCUUUCAAAUUGGCCGUUGUUGGCUCCCUUCCCGCUCAAUAUUUGGGGAGAGGACCAGGGCCUAUAUAAGUAGAACUAGCCACCACAAUAGGGGGCAGCUUGAUCUCAUCUGAUCGAGAGCCAAUCCUUAGCCACACACCGAACACAAGAACACCCCAAUCUCAGGAGGCUGUUCUUCCCCUUGUAUUGUUCAUCAUCAGCCCAAGAGGCAAUCCACCACCACCACACUGGAGUAGGGUAUUACACCACAAUGGUGGCCCGAACCAGUAUAAAUCUUGUGUCUUUGUGUUGUGAGUUCGUCGAGUUCGUCCGCGAGAUCUUAGCGAGCUAGGGCGUAGAUCGGUAGGGAGGAAAUCUCUGCGCCCACCACAGUGUUCGAACCUUGAGGGUUUUGCCGGAACCCGUGAUCCGACAGUGAGCACCUAUGACAACAAACUUCUCCAGGUGGUUCGGGUCCAAGGGAAUCUUCUUUGUUUCUUUGGCCGGCUGGAAGGAGCCCUGGGCCUCUGACUCAUUGGGAUCUGGCGACAGGUCUGGCUGCUUGCUGGCCAUGGCCACCACCCGGUCCAGGAGCUUCUUCUCGGCAGCAAUCACAAGGGACUCGGCCAGCUGGCUGCUGGCAGCAGCACAGGCGGCCGACUUCUUGUAGUCUCCAGCUAUAGCGAUAAUGCCCUUGGUUCCCGGCUUCUUCAUCUUGAGGUAGGCAUAGUGUGGUACCGCCAUAAACUUGGCCAGAGCAGGCCGGCCAAGCAGCGCGUGGUAGGGGCUCUCCAGGUCAACCAUCUCAAACCAAAUUGCUUCGUGGCGGAAGUGAUCUUCGUCUCUGAAGAGGACAUCUAUCUUGAUCUUGUCGAUUGGUGAGCAGGAAAGGCCAGGUACAAUGUCGUGGAAGACAGUCCGACUGGGCUGGAGUUGCUUCUCUUUGAUGCACAAUUCUCCAUGGUGUCGCGGUAAAGGAUGUUGAUGCUGCUACCGCUGUCUAUCAGAACUCGGGAGAAACGAGCAACUCGCCUCUCUGUUGCAAAGGUGACAUCCAACACCAAGGCAUAGGAACUCGGGGAAGGCAUCACUUCCAGGUGGUCAGCUCGGCUCCAGCUGAUGGGCUUCUCGGACCAGUGCAUGAACUCUGGGGCUUCUGAGGCAACUGCAUUCACCUCUCGGUGCUGCCAAUGCCGGCUAUGCUUGCCAUCGGCCACACUGGUGAAGACGACGUAGGCUCCGUGCUCUUUAGGGAAUUCGUCUUGGAUGGCGCCGACUGCUGGACGGGUCGCCGGCUGCUGAGGAGGAGGCGGCAGUGGGCCAGCAGGUGGAGGAGGCAGCAGUCCUUUGCCCUUGGAGAUUCGGGUGAGCCAGUGGCACUUCCGGGUGGUGUGGUUGGACGGCUUCGCGCCGCUAUGAAACUUGCAGGGAGCAUCGAGGGUUUGCUCAUAGGAGAAGGCGGGCAGCCAAGCAGGCUUGCCACCCUUCUGACGCUUGGGGCCGGGUUGUCCUUCAGGCUGCUGGUCUUCGACUGUCACCACCUGCCGGUGGGUGGAAACCGGCUGCGGGGCCUUGCGCUUGUUGUCGUUCGGUUGCUGCUGGUGCCGACUGUUGUCUCCAGCCGGUGUUCGAGGAGCCGGAGGGAGCUCCUUCCCGGAAGCAUCCACUCGGAGCUCCGACUUCAUGGAGGAGUCGGCAGUGGCGUACUUGUCGCUAUGAUCAGCAGCUCGUCGAGUGUGGCCGGCUCAUCGCAGAGGAGUCGAUGCUUGAUUAAGGUGCCCUCUCGGCACCCGGCGGUGAAGUACUCUAUGGCUUGCACUUCAUGCACCCCUUCGCAGGAGUUGCGCAGUUCAGCCCACCGCGUCAAGUAGUCGUGGGUGGACUCAUCCAGGCCUUGAAUGCACAGCGAGAGCUGGCGAGGCUUGGGCGGCCGCUUGUAGGUUCUGGUGAAGUUGCAGAUGAACACUUCGGUGAAAUCUACCCAGCUGUUGACGCUGUAGGGCUUCAGGCUGUUCAGCCAUGUCCGGGCCGUGCCCAGCAUGAGCGGAACGUACUUCACGGCGACGCGCUUGUUGUCGUUUGCUAUGUUGACAGCGUUGGAGUAAUCCACCAGCCAAUCCUCCGGCUUCACGGAGCCGUUGUACUUGGCGUGUCUCGUGGGAGCGAGAACCCUUUGGGGACGGGCUCGUCACGAAUGCGGGGGCCGAAGCAAGGCGGGCCCAUCGCGUCUUCUUCUUCUAGCGCCAGGGAUCGAGCGAGGCGGUCGAUCCGAUGGCGGGCAUCAUUCUCUCCGACUCCUUUACGGCGGCCCAGCCGGUCGCCGAGAGUCGGGUGCUCAACAGGCGGCGGGGAAACGCGCCUCUCCCUCCGGGGAGGAGGAGGAGGCGGGCAGUCAUCCCGUUGUUCCACUGCUCGUGGGCGGCCGUCUUGGUCGCGUUCGAUGGUGAGGCGUGUGCGCUGUGGCUAGCAGCCGGCUCUCGGUCUCGUCUGUCGCGGACGCCGCCUGUCGGCGUCCGGGAGGUUCCGCCUUAGUCUCGGUGGGGGGAUUCUCGACCCGCCGUCCGGGCUCUUCCACGCGGCAGCCGGCUUCUUGCUGCGCGGCAGCCGCGUCGAUGAGCUGCAGAACGCGCUCCGUCAUGUAGCGACGCUCGUCACCUCAAGGUGAUCCAGCUCGUCUGCUGCCGCCUGGGGAGCUCGUAUGUUCUCCAUGGGCGUGGCAUAGACAGGGCGGUCAACCCCGAACAUGCUGGCAACGGCAGCGCCGCGCUGUCGGACCGUGCCUAUGCGGCUGGGCCCGCCAGCAGCCGGCGUGCCGCCGACGGCGCGGUCGAUCUCGCGCUGGUAGGCCUCGGAGAGGCGUCUCAUGGUAGCCAAUUUCUUGGCGUUCUCGACGAGGGAGACGCGGCAGGCUUCUAGCGUCGCGGCGUCAGCGUCUUCCGCAAUGGGCGCGGACAGGUCCCGUAGUGCCGUCUGGAACGGGUCCUGAGCAGCUCCACCAGAUGCUCCGUUGUGGCUAAUGACGAGCACCUCCGUGACGGUGCUGCCACCGCUAUCCGCUCGAGGAAGCGGAUCGUCGAUGACCACCACGUUGGUGGGGAAGGCGUCGAGGGAUGACGUGUCGGAGUCGACAAGCAUCGGGUCGGUAGAGCCGAUCGACUCUAGGUCGGAGGCCGGCUCGUUGGUGACGUGGAGCUUGCCAAGGAGGUCGAUGAGGCAGCUCUUGGAGCUGGCUGCCCCCGCGUCGGGUGCGGGGUCGUCGAAGAGGCGGACCUCACCGAUGAGAUCAGCGAGGCAGCUCGCCGCGCAAGCGACUUCUGCGCCGUGCAGCGCGUCAGCGCAAAUGCCAUCGGGCGUGCCGGGCUGGCUGCGCUCGCCAGGGAGGAAGAGGGUUCCCGUCCAGAACAGAUCUCCGGACGACGGUGCACCAGGACCCACGGUGGGCGCCAAAUGUCGGGGGUGUCGUGCGACAUAUGCCAAAGGAUGGCUUAUCAUGGUGGGGGAGAGUAAGACGUCGCCGGUGCCUGGAAAUGGGAUAAGGCGUAGACAUAUACGCCAACGCAUCUUACCCAGGUUCGGGGCUCUCCUAGGAGAUAACACCCCUAGUCCUGCUCUGUGGGGUCUCCGCAUAAUCACUAAAUCAACAAUGGUGGCCACAAGCUUGCUCCUUGAGCUGUUUCUCUAGAGGAGGAAGAAGAACAAGGCUAGCCCUAGCUUCACUCUCUCUAUGUGGGUGUGUGGUCUCUAAGAGGUUGAACCCUUUGCAUGGGUGCCCUGGGGUUUAUAUAGGCCUACCCCACAGGGGUAUAAUGGUAAUCUGGCCGGGUGUAGGACCCGGCUGUCAGUGUCUCUGGUGACCAGCUUCUCUGCCGGCAGCUGGGGCCCGCCGCCUGGUGGGACCCGCUGGCUGUCUCGUACUUCACCGAUAGGCCGCACCCGCUGCUUGCAAGUCUUGCCGGCUGCUUAGUACUAUGGCCGCGCCACUGAUAAUGCAUGCUUAGUCGGGGAGAGCAUGGCUACAGUGCCGCCGCCUGGUGGGCGUUCACUGUAGCCACUCCCCGUCUCUUUUGAUUAAUGGGGCACAGACUUUGAGGGAGGGGGAGGGCCGCCUGGUGGGGAGUCGGCCUCCCCCGUGCCGACUAGCCAGGGCCUGCCGUCUUCUGGCUUCUCACGGACAGGUAGGGCCCGCCGCCUGCGUACCGUACCGACAGCCCGUAGUGGGAGCAUGGCCUCCUCUGUCAUGGGUGAUGUCAUGGGCUGCAUGGCAACAAUGUUGCGCCGGGCGAGAGAUGUCUGCCCAGUUGCUGCACUAUGGCCACGCUCGCCCUGGAUUCGGGGGUGGCAGGCUGUACUGUAGCCACGCCCCGUCUCGUCGUGAUGAUGUGGAUGCUAACUUCAAGGAGCGGAGGGGGAUGCCUGCUAGGAGCCGGCCUCUCUGGAGGCCGCCUGCUAGGAGUCGGCCCACCUCGUGGCCGCCAUCAGGGGGUUGCCGCCUUCCAGCAACUGGCCGCUUGGAUCAGCCGGCACCGAGAAGGCGACUCUUCGUCUUUGAGGCUUGAGGGGCACAGCCGGCCCCGAUGUCUUGAAAUACCGCGGAGGCUGAUGAGGCUACCCGUGGUCAUUUACUCCGACACCGCUGGUGAGGUCGAUGAAGACGGGAGGCAGUCCAGCCCAGCCAAAUGCGGCUUGAUAGGCCGCUAGGGCAUCCUCCUCCGGCGUUUGGUGCGGCGGCGGCAUAGCAACAAGGCGGGUGCGCUCCUCCUCUUCCUCCUCAAUCCGCAGCGCCUCCUCCUCACGGCGUAGCUGCUGCUCCCGACGCAUCUGCCGCUCAGCAUCGACCCCCUCCUCUAUGAUCCAAUGCGCCUUCCAGCGCCCAAGGUGGGCCGCCUCCUCUUCCGGCAUGGAGGCGAAGUAGCAGGGAGGCGUGCUAACCAACUCGCGAAGCUCGCCGGUCCAUGAAUAGGACUCCUCGGGCCAAGUGGGGGCGGCGGUGACCUCUUCCGCGUGGACGUUGGCUCGCGCUCCGGCUCCGGCUCGGCCUUGGGCUCGACAACAGGCGGCGGUGGCGGCCCGAACAGGGGCGCGUGGAUGGAAUCCCCGGCCGCGGACAAAGUAAGGGCUGGCUCCAGCCCAUCCCAAUGGGCGUCAUCCUCGAGCCGGCUCGCCUCCAGCGUGUGCCGCAGGGCCUCCUCGAGGGCGGCUUAGUACUCCGCCUCCGCCUGCUCUUCCUCUGAUUUUACCUGCAGGAGCGCGUGGUGGAACGUCGCAGUCAAUGUGAACGCCGAGGCGGCACUCCUCCUCAUGCUCUAGUGCAAACCAGCGCUCCCAGUUGGGAGAGUCUAGCGCGUAGGCACGCAUGGCGCGCUGCUCCGACGUAAGGAGCGGGCACCGCCGGGAAAACUCCUCCGCGUGUGCCCGUGCGGACCAGGGCGCCUCCGGGAUGGGGAUGCGCUGCGAGUCCCAAUGCCGCCGUGCGGCAAGUUCACAUCCGGGUACUGUAGGGACUGGCGGUACUCCUAGUGCCACCGCGCCUGGUGGACUGGGAUGUACAGCCGCUUCCGCUCCCGCAGUGGCAUGCCGCGUCUAGCCGGCGGCGGAGGAGGAGCCCGCGAGAAGAGCUCGCGUCGUCGCUGAACCACCCCUUCCUCCCUCCCUUCCCGCUGAAGAUGCCCAUGGCUUUGCUAGGGUUUCGGGCUGGCUGGCUAGCUAGGGUUUUGUGGUCGCCGACGAGGGAGCAAAGCUGGCUAGAUAUGGACGGGGAGUGGAUGAGGUCGGCCCCGCCGCACGCGUCCAUUAUAAAAGGACGGGCACGCGACCCUUCCACACACUGCCAGGCGGGCCCUCGAUAGGUGGCUGCGUUAAUUAUGAGCGCUUAGGGUUGUUGGCCGAUCGACAUGUGGGGACGUGGCAUACACCGAGGGGAUGCGCGGCGCGUCCGCGCCGACGCAUUUCAGUCCCAAAUUUCGGCCGGAAAUGGGUCCGCGCGGACGCCAAGCGGACAGAUUUUGGGAAUGGGUCGGCGCGUUGAGCCAGCGUUUUUGUCCGUGCUGACCCAAACGGACAUGGUCGGACAAAAUGGGUCGCCCGGUUGGAGUUGCUCUAAGGCCAACUGAGAGAACAUGUGGUGCCCCCAUGUUUGGUUUUGGUAAUUGAUGACAUUCUCUAUGGACUAAUGGUUGCCUUGAGUUAUAUUCGCAGGAUUUGUCCAUAGGCUUUUCUUGAAGUCCAUUUGUUGGUUUCAAGGAGUUUAUGUGUUGACCAAGGUGCUUUUCAAGGAAUUAUCCAAAGUUUGGUCAUAAAUAAGAGAUGAUACAAGGUUGAUCAAGACUAAGUCAAAUAGUGAAUCUAGUUGAUCAACACACAAAGCGUACAAGAUGUACCGAGAGGGAUCAAGAGAUCACAUGGUAUGAUAAGCAUUUUCCAUCACUCUUUGUGUACUGACCCAUGGUCUAUAUGAGAGUUCUAUGUGGGGUUAGGUAUGUUUCCAUGGGCUUGCGUCAAGAGAAAGAUCACAUACAACCCAUGGAGGAUGACAUCAAGUGGUGAUCAUCAUCAAGAUUGCGCUGUGCAAGUUCAAGUGGUGCAUCACGAAGAGAUCAACUGCUUUAAGCUCGCCGUCCAUUGUGGUGGAAAUGGACUUAUGAAGAUGGGCCAAAGAGUGGCUCACCCAUAGUAGAGUAUGGUGGAGCAAUCAACUAGUCUUCAUCGAGCGAACGCAAUCAAGAAAGGUGGUCCAACUUGAGGAAGUCAAGAUCGUCAUCAUCUAGCUCAAGUGGACUAUGUGCAAGGGAAAGGUUUGCCCUGGAUAGGUUUUCUAUUUUACCGGUCUCAUGGUGGUAGUUGGGAGACCGGGUUAUAGGAUUGGUUGUCGUACUAUCAAGGGGGGGCUCUCAAGUAAGUAGCUUGAUCGUAUCAUUCGUAGAGAGCUCAAAAAAUUGCAUCUUUGCAUCAGCUUUCUUGGUUCUUAUUUGGUGUUUCUCUUUGUGAGUUUAGGAGCUUUUUGUCUUCAUCGUGAUAAGCUCAAGCUCAUCGAAAACGGAUUUCGUAUGCAUCAUAUUUGUGUUUUCGGUGUUGGAGAUUUUGCCGGAUAUUACUUGGGAAGGUCAUCUUCCUUAUCCUAGUGGCAUUUAUUCUCCAUUGCUUGUUCUUUUAAUUUAGCCAAUCGCUUUUGGAUAGCUCUUGUCGUCCUCUAUCCAACAAGUUUGAGUUUGCUCAAUUCAGAGCUUGUAUGCGAAAGUUAUGGCUGUUUUGAUCAUACCUGUUUUCCAUAGACCGGUUGUACCGCUUCUUACACCGGUUGUACCGGUUGACUGGUACUACCAGUGUUUGGGGCUGUUGUACCGCUCCAGACUUGGUCCGAUGGUUGUACCGGCCCUGUACCGCUCUACCACCGGACUGGGUUCUGUUGUGGAGUGGUUCUUGGGCGAUUGUGGGCCGGUUGUACCGGUUAGUUCUGGUUUAACCGAUACUACCGGUGCCCCUGGUGGUUGUACCGCCUAGUGCUUUUCCUACACGUAGGUUUUUUCUCUGCUUUGACCGGUUGUAACGGUACUUACACCGGUUGUACCAGUCCUACAGUUUUCUGCACAUAACGGGCAGAUUCGUGGGGACCUAUAGAAGGGGGUCUUCUUCCCCAUUGGACCCUAUCUCUUGAGCUCGUGUUCUUCCCCCAUUGUUGACCUUCUUCGAGCUUGCUUUCUCUCAAUCCCUCCAAUGAUUCUUGCUAGUUCUUAAGGGAAAAGAGAGAGGAGAUAUAGAUUCACAUUUUCACCAAUCACUUUCUCCUCUAUUUGAGGGAACCCCUUGGAUCUAGAUCUUGGAGUUAUUUGUGUUCUCUUCUUCGUUCUUCCUCUCAUUUUCCUCCAUAGCAUUAGUUGUUGUGGUGGGAUUUGGGACAGAAAAACUUGGUCACUCUUUGUGCCAUUGCCAUUGCAUUUGAUGCAUCGGUUUGAGUUCUCCACGGUGAUACAUGGAAGUGAAAGUUGAGAAGCUUAUUACUCUUGAGUGUUUAAGCACCCUAGAGCUUAUUCCUCUUGGGUGCUUUGGUGCCCUAGACGGUUGGUGCGUUCGGAGCUCAUGAUGCCUGCCAUCCUCCGGCCGUCGGUGCAUGGCCCCGUGCGCGCGCGCUUCGGCGACGCGGCAGGCGUCAUGGCGUCCUUCCUCGUCUCCGGGCUCAUGCACGAGGUGAUAUUCUACUACAUCAUGUGGCAGCCGCCCAGCGGCGACGUGACCGCGUUCUUCGUCCUGCACGGCGCGUGCACCGCGGCGGAGGGGUGGUGGGCGCGGCACGCCGGGUGGUGGCGGUGCCGCUCACGCUGGCGUUCGUGGGCGGGACGGGGAUCUGGCUCUUCUUCCCGGCCAUGGUCAGAGGCGGCCUGGACGAGCUCGUGCUGCAGGAGUGCCAGGGCUUGGUGGCGGCCAUGGAGCAGGCCGGCUGUUGGCUCGCCGGCGGCGGCGCCGCCGGUCCCAUUCUUUCCACCCGCUGACCAGCAGAAAACAUGCGCUGUGACGAGGGAUCGAAAGUGUGCCGUACGAUCAGGAUUCAAAGGGUGAUAGGAGCAUAGUACUACUUGUGAUGUGGACUGUGGUAGACUUGGAUCUUGGAAUAUCGUGAUUGAACAUUCAUUGAUCAAUAAUAAUUAAAAUAUAUUGAUAUUCAGAUCUUGGAUGGCUACUACAGUCUAGCGAUAUCCUUUUUCUUAAUUGAAACAAACUAGCAAAAGAGCUCGUGCAUUGCAACGGGAGAAAAACACAACCCACACUCUUAACCGAACAACCAUCACUCAAAACCACAAUAGGUCCAUCUCAUUUAUUUUAGCGACGCAUCAUAUUUGUGUUGCCGCUUAUCCUUCUUCUCACCCUCGUCGGCGGUGGCCUUCGUGUUCACACAAACCAAAACGUGUUAGAAUGUGGUUAAUCCUAAGACAUCUCUCUCUCCCUCUCUCCUUCCUCUCCCUCUCUCUCUCGCUUUCUCUCACACUCGCGAUGAGAAAUCUGUUGUUUUCCCCUGCGACGUAUUCAGAGGUAUGCAUGUAUAGUUCUCGAUAUUUUCUUUUUCCUAUAUGAUUAUAGUGGGUGUUUAUUUGCAAUCUGGAUCGCCGUCUGUAUGAAAGAAAAAUGGAUCGUGCGUUAUAGUUAUAAGUUUGCUUCCAAAACAAUAUUUAAAAAAUAUUUAACAGGUAAAAUUAACAUCAUAUACAGAUUUCACACAUUUUUCUAAUCAAAUUUCAUAUAUAACAUAUUAAAAUCAGAGUUACGGUUUAAAAGAUACGUAUAAUUUAGAAACCAUUUGUUUGAAUUAAAUAUCUUUCAAAAUAAUAUUUAUAAAUAGUUAACAGGUUAAAAUAAUAUUAUAUUCAUAUUCUACAUAUUGUUCUAAUCAAAUUUCGUAUAUAACAUGUUUAAAUCGGAGUUACAGUUUAAAAGAUAUGGAUGGUUUAGAAAAGCAUUUGUUUAACUUAAAUAUGACUUAAAUCUGAACUGCGGGUUGAUUUCAUGAAAACGCAGGGACUUUUUUACAAAUUGGCGCGACGGACGGGCAGAAACCCUACAUGCUUUAUUAUUAACUAGCACAAAUGCCCGUGCGUUGCAACGGGAGAAAACCGAUGGGCUGCUGAUGACAAAAAUGAUGGACCUAUUGAGAGUCGGGUUCUCCUAUUGUUCUUCGGGACACGGUUCAGGAUAUGUGAUAUUUAUUCUCGUCCUCCUAAGUCCUAACAUAAAUUUGAUCAUAGGCUCCUAGAUCUUCAGAAAUAUUGUGCAUCAUAUGAGCCGUGAUAUGAUUUUAAUCUCGGUGCAAAAAUUCAGACUAUGCAUCCUACCUGAUGCUGCUUCUCAUCUUCAACAUCAUUUGAGCUAGGCAAUUGAGCAUUGUUACCAUGGUUAGAAAAUUAUACAGACCGAAGAAAUAGCAACACAUGGUACAACAGAUUGGACAAAAAUCUAUGUUUAUACUUGCCACAUGCCCGUGCAUUGCAACGGGAAAAUAAUAAUAAUCAAUAUGAUUAAGCAGAGUGGGUUGACAGAAAUAGAACAACAAUUGUAUCAUUCCAGAAGCCUUCCCUGUCGCAUAAAGAGUUUGUCUAACAAAGCGAGAUAAGCGAUAGCUUAAGAGACUCAUUUGUGAAGGAGCGAGCUAACAACAUUCAGAGUGUUAGAUCUUGGUGCUUCCCAUGAAUGGCGACACUCGUGACGUGGACACGCUCCUCAGUGGCGCAAACCUCUGAUUUGCACAUUACCAUGUGAUCUUUAUUUUUCCAGUCGAUAUCUAUACAUCAGAAUAAGAAGCAAAUCCAAACCUAUCAUCAGAGCCUAAACCAAGGAGACUCUACACGUCAGUUUUUUCUAAAAGGCCGAGUAGCAUCCUUGACUCUGCAACGGUGCAGCCAGUUUACACAAUACAUACAUCGAUAGAAUUAUAAGAAUAUUUCACUCGCUUCUUGAACCAAAAACAAUGACCACUCAACUGAAAUGUAGAUCAAGACAUGACGAGUAAGUGUUGAAACCUGCAGCUUAUAUGUUGGCCAAUUGGAAGGCCCAACACAGAAGUAGGUGUCGGGAGAGCAAAUUUGAACUUGGCCACAUUAAGACUGAUUUAUCUCUUCUGCACAAGUUUAAACUCUUUUAGUUUCUCAGCAUCCAAGCAGCCUACAAAUCAAAACACACCUAUAUUAAUUUUAUACACAAGAUUCAAAAGCAGUAGCCUUGCUUUAGGUAGAGCAAAUAAUUUAUCCAGAGGGUAGCAAGAGGAAUUGCAAAAUGAAUCAUAUGAGCAGUUUAAAAAUGCAUUGGAAUCUGAAUAGGGAGAAGCAUCCGAACUAAAUAGUACACUCAUAUUGCAGAACCAGAAACAUUGGAUGAAGACUGAACAUGUGGUCACUCAUAGAUUCAAAUUAUCACUUUUUAUCUGAAACGAACGAUCUACAGUAACUAAGGAAAUGGCUAAUUAAUUUGAACGAUUCAGAUUUAUUCUACUCUCCGAGAAAUGUCACAACCAUUCCAUGCAAGAAAUCCAAUGGCCGCCAAUUCAGACCAUCUCUUUCAGGGAAUCACCUAGCCAUCAAGAAGCAUCCUCGAUCCACAGAAUUUGAUAGUAGCGAACAUGUGUAAGCUAGAAAUGUGUAAGAAACUAACAUCGGUGUAAAUGAAAUGUACUAUUCACUGUAAUGAGGAGCACCCUCUUUUACGUGAAUACUUGGAUAAUCACUUGCCUAUCUCAAUCUUAGACCAAUUUAUUCCCUUUUACCUUCUAUACAUUUCAGCUAUAAUUAUUAAUUACUCCCUCCGUCCCAUAAUAUAAGAAUGUUUUCAAGCUAACAUAGCUAGGUUGAAAAACAUUCGUAUUUGAUGGGACAGAGGGAGUAGUAUUUUGAAGCAUGUAUCAUAAAAGGGCAAGCACACUACCUUCAGUUAGUUCAAAACCUUGUCAAGUUUUGAUUUUGAUGGUGAGUUAGUAGUUGCGAAUAGUUGAUGCCAAGCAAUUACAAUCUGUGCAUCAUGCAAGUCUGCAAAACAUAAUAUGACAAAAGAAAAGGAGCACACAAAGAUUAUUCCAACAAUCUUAUCCAACUUAUAAACAAAGACAUUGAUUCUCCUUUCCAUAACAUAAUCAGAUAAAAGGAAUGGGGCCCAGAAAUAUUAACUAUUAACUUUAUCCGAGAUAGGAAAAUCUUAAAAAAAAGAUAGUUUUUUGGGGUCGAAUCAAUACCUUGCUUGAGGAUCUCAUAUUUCUUGUGAGUGAUGGUUUUGGCUUUGCUCGCAACACCAAUUGUUGCAUCCUGCAAACCCAGGUUUUUCGAUCUGCACUUCCAUAUGUUGGCCCAUCGCUCUUCCAUCUGGUAUGUUAACUCAUGAUCCACAAUCUCCUUCUGAAACUGCAUGAGUAACCCUACAUAAAAAAGGCAAGUUUAAUUGUCUCCUCCUGUUAGCAUGGAAAGCUCCAAGAACUUAAAACACCUAGCCAAUUUGCCUUUGAGCCCCAUGUUGCCUUCAUGUUAAUUAAAGGAUGUUAACUUGUGGCUAAUUUGUGAAAGCAAAAGAAAAGACCACUCGGGCUCCUUGUUCUCCCAUUAACUUCAGGUGGCUAACAACCACCAAUAUGUGGCUACUCUUUCUGAAUUAGUACAGAUCAAACUAAAAACAUGUAGAGCAAUGGUGUUAUCGCUUCUGAACAUGACAUAACAGUACAACUACACCACCAUGUACGAAUUCAGUAUUAUAAGUUUAUAACAGUACAAACUAACUGUGCUCUUUGCCAAUUCUCCUAAAAUGCAUCACACGUACUUGGUUAUCUUCUUCACAGCUUUAAACUUUUACAAGAAUUCAGCAGUGGUUAUUCCAUUAGUAAAGCACACAAUGAAGUAAAGUGUUUUGAGACAACGGUGCAUGUAUGGCAGAUCUCUCUGCAUGGAGGCGGUUUUACCUGCUCCUAAAGAAAUUGAUUCUCAAUAAAGAUGCCCAGCUGAGGAUCUUUUCACCUUGUUGCUACCUGUUAAAUUUGGGAUGACGUCUUAGAUAUGGUGUGACAUUUGCAUGUACUGGUUCGGAUAAAUAAUUUGGAAUUCAGUGGGACGAAUGCACACACAAAUACCUUUAAAGUAAUUUUCUUGUAAACAGGCAUGAAGGAGAAACUUAUAGUGGGCAGGUUGGGCAGCUUCUCAUUCACCAUCUUUUCAAGAGCUAAAGCCAACUCCAUUGGUAAGACCACAAGAGGCGCACAAGAUAGAACACAUAUGAUGAUUUCACAAGCUACAGUGCUCCAAAAAUUGAAAGCAGCAAAUCAGAUUUAACAACUUGCUACUUUCUUUCUGAUUUGUUCCGUGUCCUCCUUGUAUAAUUGACUGAUGACAUGUUGAAUUCAAAAGGUCAUUGGAGAGCAUCUACGUAACUGACCAACAACUAAAUACUGAGAUCUGCGUACGAAGCUACAUAACUUUACAUACUCCUACUAACUUUAUUACCCUGUGAUCAAGUGUUACUUUCGCUGGUUGAUUAACCUGGCACAAAUGGCACCCCUUUUUCGAACAACUGAAUAUGCAAUAAACAGACAGUGCAAACACAUCAAUAAAAACACACACAAGCAUAAAUAAACUUACUACAGAGCAUCACCUUUUCAGAGCGGUCGACUCAGUUAAUGGAGCCAGAAUGAAUUGGAGCCUAUCCUCCCUCCAUGUUUGUUCCGAUUGACACACAAGAAUACACCAAGCAUUACCCGUCCGUUUAAAGCUAGCACACAUGGGACAAUCGUAUUAAUCUCUCAUACAAUCACGGCAGUCUGCAUAUGAUAGAAACAACAAACGCAAUCAGCACCAGUAGCAAUAAUCAAGAACAAUAGCUAAAAAUAUAUCUCUUCAGUAGGAGCACCAAAAGGAUGACAGAACAUCACAUAUAACUCAUACAAAUCAGAUCACCCUAUACAAAAUUCCCCAAGCAGAGCAAAGAAUAAAGUAUGGCAUACACAGCAACAUGAUAUGAUACAAAUCCCCAACUGAACCCCUCCAUCUCUCUGUAUAAAAUUCCCCAGUUGAACUCCUCAAACUCUCACAUCUCUGUCCCCCAAUUAUUUUGAACCAAUAAUCAGUUCCCCCUUCUUUUCAAGAUGAGUAGCAUUCGCAAAACCAAGAUGGAAUAGCACCACGGGGUCAGGUUUAGGGGAAGGCUUGGUCGGUGUUUAGGGAGAGGAAGGCGAGGAUGAGGAUCCCGACCAAGAAGGAAGGAGGGACGAACCUGGGGCCGCCGGAGACGCGCCGGCGAAGGCCUGCCCGNNNNNNNNNNNNNNNNNNNNNNNNNNNNNNNNNNNNNNNNNNNNNNNNNNNNNNNNNNNNNNNNNNNNNNNNNNNNNNNNNNNNNNNNNNNNNNNNNNNNNNNNNNNNNNNNNNNNNNNNNNNNNNNNNNNNNNNNNNNNNNNNNNNNNNNNNNNNNNNNNNNNNNNNNNNNNNNNNNNNNNNNNNNNNNNNNNNNNNNNNNNNNNNNNNNNNNNNNNNNNNNNNNNNNNNNNNNNNNNNNNNNNNNNNNNNNNNNNNNNNNNNNNNNNNNNNNNNNNNNNNNNNNNNNNNNNNNNNNNNNNNNNNNNNNNNNNNNNNNNNNNNNNNNNNNNNNNNNNNNNNNNNNNNNNNNNNNNNNNNNNNNNNNNNNNNNNNNNNNNNNNNNNNNNNNNNNNNNNNNNNNNNNNNNNNNNNNNNNNNNNNNNNNNNNNNNNNNNNNNNNNNNNNNNNNNNNNNNNNNNNNNNNNNNNNNNNNNNNNNNNNNNNNNNNNNNNNNNNNNGCAGAGGCCGGGAGCGAAGAAUAUGGAGAUAGGGGAGGGUUACGUGGACCAUGGGGAACUCGAUGGCGUGCUGCGCGGCGGUGGAGCUCGCCGGAAGCGGCCGGCGUGGGUGGUGGCGGCGGCGAGGGCUUCGUGGGCGAGAGAGGGAGGAGGCGAGCUCGUGCUAAUUGUGUGGUCGUGUUUUUUUUUCUUUACAUUACAAAUAUGCUCGGACUGCGGGUUGAAUACUCCGAACGACAGGGGCUUUAUGCAAAGACGAAUCGUUUUCCAGAUAUUCACCUAACAAGGGACCGCGGGUUUAAUUACCAGAAAACAGAUGGAAAGUUUUGCAAAAUUGCUAACGACGUACGACCAGAAGCGUUAAGCGCUUUAUUAGUAGGUAAAGAUAUAAAUAAGGUAGAGAUUAAUGAUGGCGACGUAGGUAAGUUGUUUUUCUUCUUCUUCCCCGGCUGACUCGUAUACCGUACCACUCUGCUGACAUGGAACGGCACUUGGUCGUGACCGGUGAAAUACGUUUUCUAGCAGCGCCAGAGAUUUUCCACGAAGACCGAGGACGGCAUGCGUUCGAGAGUUUCUUUUUCAAAGAACACUAAUAUCCAGUGCCCGUCGGAUACGAGGAUGGUUGGAACGAGCAAUUCGUUCGAUCAGAAAGCAACGGUCCAGUGAAAGAUUUCGUUCACUAGAACAAAUAGCCCAGCGUGAUUUGUUUUUCUUUGGUACGAGAAAACUCAAACCGUGAUAGCUAUAUCUCGCUUACAGCGUGAUGGUAGGAACUCUCGCCCGAAGCAUCUGCAGUAAUGGGCUGGCCCAUUAGGUCAUAUUUACCAGAACGAAGCGCGCAGUGAUCGAUCACCGGAUCUCUUGGUUGCAGCAUGGCACUGGUAGUCACCGUCGGCUUCGUGGUAAGUUGAAGGAAAAUAGCCGGGUUUCCAUUUGUUUCCAGCAUAUUUUCUUAUUCUUGUCUUUUCCUGCUUUUCACCAGUUUUCCUUCAUUUCUUUCUAUGAUUUUACUAGGUUUUUAUUUCUCUUUUUUUACGUUGUCUUUCUUUAUUUCACUAUGUUUAUUUCUUGUUUUCCACUGGCUAUUUUUCUUACAUUUUUCUUCUGUUUUGUUUGUUUAUUUUCUCGUUUUUCAUUGGUUUUCUUUUUGUUUUUCUCGGGUUUUCACCGUUUUUAUACAAAACAAGAUGUGUCCUCCCACGCACCUUGGCUGGCCCAUCUCGCGCUCUGCUUGACGCUAGGGUUCCCUAGGUCUCGCUAUAAGCCAGACAUAGAGGCGCGAAACUCAAACCCCUGCACGAAUCCAGUGCACACACAGGGUAUUUUGUUCGCCUCCUGGCUCAGUCAGAAUUCCCUUGUGGACACGUGUAUAAAAAGGAGCAUCAAUAAAAAGUGGAUAAUUUGUGAUACAAAAAAAGCAAUAUAGAAAAAAUACAUUUGUCGUGGUGUAUAAUUUUUUUGGCAUGGUACAAUACAUAAAAAUACAUUCGCCCUCCUUAUAAAAAUAAGAUGUUUUUUGACACUUUUGACAGGGUCAAAAAAUGUCUUAGAGGAGUACGUCAGCCAUGCUAUUGCGUGAUAAAACAUGGUAUAUGGUGGCAUGGCAGAGUUGAACAUCGAAUUUCUAUGUUAUUCUCUAGUCAAUAAACUACCACAUUUAAAAAAAAUUAAGAUACCUAAGCCCUAAAAGAUGUCAUGAUUCAUUCUUCUACUACAAAGGUAAACUAGGGCAUGACCACAAUCACUAUAUCAAUAAAAAGAUAGAUAUAAGGCAAUAAAAUUUGCCAUGAUCUAAAGAAUAAAAUUGUCAUACGGCCUGAACUGAAAUUGUCAUAGUCUAAUUAUAAAAAUUGUCAAGGUCUAAAUAAUAAAAUAGCCAUGGUAGCUACAAUAACAUCACCAUUGUCUAAAUAAUAAAAAUUUGCCAUGAUAUAAUUAAUAAAAAUUGCCAUCGUGUAAAGAAUAAAAUUGCCAUGCUGCCACCAAUGACACUAACAUGGUCUAAUUGAUAAAAAUGCCAUGCUACAUACAACAAAACUACUAUGGUCUAAUUGAGAAAAUUCUUUCUCUAAAAUAACAUGGUAACUUUUUUGGAAUUUGUAAUGGCCACAUGGGAAAAGUUAGGCAUUGUGUUAUUUGAAAAGUAUGGUUAAUUUGGGAUACUGUUCUUUCAAAAGAGGGGAAAUUUAUGGAUUUUCCAUGAAUAUAUAAUUCUUGCCAUGUGACAAGUUGAAAAAAUUAAUAGAAAUGACAUGUAAACAUUAUGAAGAUUAAUAAAAUGCCAUGUUUGAAAACGGAAAAAUGUUAUGACUUUGCCAUGUGAGAAAUAGAAAAAUUACAUUCUCUCUUAAAUGCAAAAAAAUGCCAUGACAAAAAACUAUACAAAAAGUGAAAAGGCAGAUUUGCCAUGGCAGAAUAUAGGUGUCAAUAAAUUUGCCAUGAUAUUUUUCAAAUUUUCGCAUGUUAUGUUCCAUAAAAAUGCAUUGGAAUAAUACAAGAUAACUGCCAUGGGUAUGUAAAAAUAGUAAUGUGUCAUAGUAUAUUAAGAACACAAAAAUGACAUCGUAUUUAGAAAACAAUUGCCAUGAUAUAGUCUUAUGAAAAACAAUUUUUGGAAUGUUGAUUUGCCAUGUUCAUCGAAAAAUGCCAUGAUAACUUCAGAAGAUCCCAUGAAAUUAGCCAUGGCAAAUUAGCCAUGACAACUAUAAACAGUCAUUUAUGUUUAUAAGAACAUCUCAUGUCAUCGCCAGAAUUAUGAAAAAAAAAUCUUCUUGGCCAUGACCUAGAGCAAACAAUUCUUAAGUUGCCAUGUGUAUCAACUGAAAAAAGCCAUGUUGAGUGCUGAAAUACAAAAUUCCACUAGUUGUAGCUCAGAUAUAAGCCUGAUGUACUCAAAUCCACUAAGAAAAAAUGGAAUAAAAAUAACUCUAAAAAAAGCUUCAAAAAAAGCAUACUUAAAAAUGUGUGUCGACGACCGCGACACAUAACUACAACGAUGACGCGGAACCCGGCCUCCUCCCUGUGCCCCUCGUCGAGCCAGACCACCUCCUGGCACCCUUGUCGAGCCCCGCCUUCUCCCGUGUCGUAGUCGAGCUCGGUAUCCUCCCGUGGCGGCCACCUGCACGCUCCUCGGAAGUAGCUGGUGGGGACGAUCGUAUCAGUACCUGCGGACGCCGAUGGAGACAAAGAUGGGCGUCGUUGUGGCCUCUUCCUCGGCACCGUUUUACGGUGGCCUAGGGAUGGCGAUGCCUGUGGCGGUAGUGCGCGUGGGGGAAUACACCGACGAGAGGUCGGUGAGGGUGAGGCAACAAAAUGCGCAGACCCUGCCACCACCACUGCCUUGAGCCCAGCACACCUCCGCCCGGGGUGCACGCGUGGAGAAACGCUAGAAUCCACGGCUACCGCCACAGCACCUCGCCCCGAGAGACUUGUCAACGGGAAGGAUAGCUCUGGGUGAGGGCGAGGCACUGAGAGAGUGGGGGGGGGGGAUAGUGAGUUAGCAAGAGUUAGGUGAGGCCGUUCGCUGGAUUGGGCGUCUGCGCGAAUGCCAUGAUGUUGAUGUGGCAACAACAUUGCACCAAGAUCCGUGAUAGGAGAUGGAACGGCGGGAAAAAGGUUUCGUUGGGAAGGAUGAAAAUGCGAACGUUCGCACACUAGUAGGAUUUCCCAAAAAAAUCUCUUUCUCUUUCUUUUUUCUGAAAAACACCCGUCCAUAUAUUAAUUAAUUAAAACGUCAUUACAAUCGUUCAUAACAGCAGGCGCCACACAAGGCGGAAAAUUAUUAAAAAGAAAACCAUCACAUCUAUUAUCGAAACUAAAUUUAGCAAUCCCAUGCACUACUGAAUUAGCCUUUCUAUUUAUUUCUGGGAAAAUCUCUUUCUCUUACUCCCGAAAAAGAACAGAACGUUGAGACGGAAGCGCUGGCCAUCAAGAGGAGCACGGCCUGAGGCCGGGAGGCAAAUGAUCACGUACGGCAACGACGAAACAGCAGCCUCUCGGACAACAAGGCACUGCGUAGGACGCUCUUAUAUUUUCUGUAAAGUAUUAGAGCAUUUCCAACGGCAAUCCGCAAAAAACCUCUCGCAUCCGUCCACGGAUAGGGGACCAGUCAACGUACACGGAUGCGGGAGGCCGUCAUCCAACUGUAAUCGCAUACAUUCGGGUUUUUUUUCUAAGUCCGCACGAUCAAAUAGCUACAUGCAAAGGGCACAGAUGUUCAAAUAGCCGCAUGCAGCACUAGUUCAAACUUAAAAAAAUUAAAAUAUUACAUCCUAACAUUGUUGUCCCCUUCAGGAUGAAGUAGUCAUCAUAAGACCGGACGUCGUGGUACAAACUAUCGAAGACAGUCUUGCGAAUCCGAAAACACCGGCAAAAAUGGUCAGCGAAUAGUGCAUCGGGGGCAAAGUAGUCGGCCCUGAGUGUCAAAUGCCCACGCGCCCUGUUGCAGUUGAGCACUCGAUGACCCUUGAUCAAGCCCUUGAAAUUGAGAACAUACUCCUCCGCACACUCCGUGUCUUCAAGGACCGCCUGCAUCAUCGCCGUCUCAUCGAAGUACUCCUCCUCGUCCGAUGAGCCGUCGGAUGACUCAACAUACUGCUCGUAUAUGUACUCCAAAUCAGAAUCCAUUGCUACAAAAAAAAGGGACAAGUGUUUUCAGCUCCGGCGAUUCAUCGAACAGUUGUCGGGCACAACGGAGGACGGUACCUGACGGGGCGUUCAGAGGACAGGGGGUUGAACGGAGACGGAGGAGAAGCGACGGGGAGCUCUGCUGGAUCGUGGGAGGUGACGGAGACCCAGAUUUCCGGCAGAAGUGUGGCGUGGUGGCCGGGAUGGUGGAGAAAGAAGGAAUGAGAGAAAAUGGGGACGAUGGAGUCGCGGGGCCGGGGAAGGGUUCUGGGUGGGCCUGGGGUGUCGGAUUUGUACGUUUCGCGUGCCUAGACUCUCACACACGUUUGCCUCUAUUUUGCGGAAGAAAUCGCGUGUGAUGGGCCGAUACAGGACCGUGUUGGAUGACUUAGCAGUUUGAACAGUAUGAUCCGAACGAUUGCCGGAGAUUUAAGGGUCGACCUUGGAGAUGCGCUUAAUGCUACCGGAGAAGCGUCUCGAUUCCGACCCGACUCCGACCCCGACACGGUGCGGGGGCCCGGAAUCGUCCCCCGACACGGUGCCGCGCGCCAUCGUUAAAUAUACAACCCGGACAGGCAAACAAGGAAACAAUUGGACACGGUGAUCAACCCCUCGGCGCCUGCAGCUUCGAUCUCCUGCGAGCAGCACGUAUACGUGGGUGGAUUCGAGGCUCGUAUAACCAACCAGGGGCCGAUCGAUGAGCUUCGAGGACCUUGAGGCGGGCGUCCUGCCGCCGGCGCCGCUGCCGCUGCCGCAGGUGGUGGCGCACGGCGUGUUCCAGAUCAACACCAAGGUGGCGGCGCUGCGGCACCUCGGCGACGCGCUCGGCACGCCCAAGGACACGCCCGCCCUCCGCGUCCGCCUCCGCUCGACGCGCGCCGAGGCCGCGCGGCUCGCCAGAAUCACGUCACAGAACCUCAAGCAAGCCGCCGCCGACGCCGGCGACAGAGGCGCCGAGGGGUCGACAUCCCCCUGCUCGAAGCUGGCCAUGGAUCUCGAGGCCGCCCUGAGCGAGCUCCAGAAAGUCCAGCAGCGUAUCGUAGCGGCAGAGCGACAGGUCAACUCCUGUGCUGCUGCUGCUGCCGCCGCUGCUGGUAGCACAUUUGCCGGUCAUGAGCAGUGCACCGGGCAAACGCAGCAGCAGCAGCUUCUGUCACAUGGAACGGAAGUCGAAGAGCUCGAAGCCGUCGUGGACGAGAGGGAGCGGGGGAUACGGGAGACGGAGCAGGUGAUCACCGAGAUCAACGAGAUCUUCAGGGACCUCUAUGCACUGGUCGACGAGCAGGCCUGCAGCGUCGACCACGUCGUGUGCGACAUCGACAGCGCCGCCGUGACGACGAGCCAGGCCGAAGAAGAGGUCUCUGCAUUAGCAGUGGAGACCGAUCGGGUGUCGAGCUCGAGCCCGAGCUCGUCGACCAAAUACUUGCUGAUGUUUGUUGUUGGCAUCUUCUUGUUCAUCUUCCUGUUGGUGCUUGUAGGGUAGUGCGGGUCGCUGAGCGUUUCAUCCAUGGAGUCCAUAUUCAGUCGGAGGCCUGAGUUUUCAUCCUGGUUGUGCUGACAGAGUUAUAGGUGAUUUUCUGAUUCCAGCUGUCCAUUCGGAAGUUGAAGCACGCCUUCGCGUAAAAGUAAUGUAUGAGUCAUACAGUAUGACUCUUGUUUGGGGGAAAAGUAGUGUCUGAUUCUGGCACUUUUAGACUUGUUUUAAUAAUUCGAUACAGCAAAAUUGUUGGAGUGAUUCACGAAAGUUUUACUUCCUCGAAUCUACAGAACAUUUUUCACCAUUGGAUCCAAAAAAGGGAUCAGGUUCCGUUUCGGAAAAAAAAAGAUCAGGUGAUAAGAAAAACUCUGUUUGAAUAUACUAUUACGGUUAAACGAAAGAAGGGGCAUCACAUGUGUCAUUAAACUAUGAGAGAUAAGAAAUGAACUAGCAUUUGUUUGUCCACCAAUCUAUGUUGGGCCUCAUAACUUGGAAGAAAACAGAUACUUAUGUCACAUCUAAAUGUGCUUUAGCAAAACUGGAAAAAAAAGUGUGAGGUCUUGGCAGAACAAACUAGCCAUGCUGUGCUCGGCACCUCACUGAUUGUGGUGUGUAACAGUCUUUUAAAUUUUGUGUAAGAUUUUUGUGUUUGACCUAAUUUUAUUUGGCCAUUUUGGUUGGGUUUUUUUGGGGGGGUAUUGUUGGGUUAGGUGAACCCCUCUCUCCAGGAAAUCCCCAAUAAUCCCGCUCACAUAAAUCCAUAUGUACAUAUAAAGCUCUAGCAGCUAAUCCCGCUCACAUAAAUCCAUAUGUACAUAUAAAGCUCUAGCAGCUACAGCACAGCAACACACCAUAUCAUCUGAGCUUCUCUGAAAGGAACAAUGACUGCCAUACUCAAUAACUGAUCUCCAUAUGUACACCAUAUCGACUUGAUAUUAUGUCAAGUCGAUGGCUAUGAAUUGAGCCAAUAUCAAAUUUAACACUAUUUGAAAUGUGCAUCUCCAUGGCAUCAUAUCAAGUAUUAUCAUGUAUGUAUGCUACAUUAUCAGCUUUGAGACUCACUAUGAAGAUAUCUAAAAUUAUAGCAGCAUCAAUAAUUGCAAUACCAAGAAUACUAUCCACACCCAAACAUCUAGAAGAAGAAAAAUCUAUCAGACAUGCAAUCUUUUCUUCACCUCAUGAUAUAAGCAAGUCGCAUCAUUGGUGACACAUUCCUCCUUGUAGAGGAGCGAUGUUUACAGCAUACAGUCAAACAAAUAGCAUGCAAAGAUAACAGAGACACGCGCAUUUCGACAAAGCAUGGGAAGUAACAACUCUUUUAACUAUCCAGAGAAAAGAAAAGCAUAAAAACCACAUCCACUUGAAUGACACCUAUGCUUAGCAAUGAUUCAAGGCAGGGCAGUCCAAAACGCAACAAAAUAAAAUAUCUGCCAAAUGAAGAUGUCACAAAACUGUAAACAUCAGCAAGGUGCAAAAUAAAACUUGCAGGUCCAUAAUAUCAAUUCCAGAUGCAUUGAUGUUCAGUCUAUCUAAGUAAAUCCCCAAUGAGCAUAUGCAUGAGGUAGUGCACAAUAUACGUUUCAGAAUGCAAGGAUUUUCUUGUCCACACAGUGGACACUGGUGAGUUACCUCAACAACUGCACUCUUGGAUAUGACAUCAAUGGCAAGGAAAAUACCACUAUACAAUAGAAGGCAAAGGAAUUUGUAGGUCGGAAUAAAAGUGGGCAUACAUUCUAAACAAAGAGGAAAUAUCCUUAAUGCAGAAAGUUCUAAGUCUAAGUUGCUAUGGGAGAAUACACAAGGUCAAGGAGAAUUGUAAGUAGUUUUGGUUAAAAAGAAAUUGGAACUACUGAUUGCUACAAUGCUAAAGAGGAGUGAACAGAAAACAUGGAAAGAUUCCAAUUUAGAUUAAACGGAUAUACUGCAACAAAAUAACUAGUGUGCGACCAGCAAGACUAGUUAGUUCAUACGCGACUCUGCAUAUAUAUAACAAAAGAGCUAACAUUGCAUCACCACAACAAACAAAAUGUUACAGUUGCAUUCAAGAUCAACAGCAACCGACAAAAUGCAGAGCACCAGGGACCAGUUUUCCUGAACAACUGCACUCUUGGUGAGUUACCUCUACAACUGCACUCUUGGCUGCAGGCAAAAUCCCACUAUACAAUAGAAGGCAAUGAAAUUUAGUAUAAGAUGUUCUAACUUUUUAGUGAAUCGGAUAUAUAUAGACACGUUUUAGUGUGUUUAUUCACUCAUUUCAAUCCAUAUGUAGUUCAUAUUAAUAUCGAAAACAUGUUCUAUUUGUGAACAGAGGGAGUACAAUGCUAAUGAGGAGUGAACAAAAAACAUGAGUAGAUUCCAAUUUAGAUUAAACAGAUAUACUACAACAAAAAGCAAGCGUGCGGCCAACAAGGCUAGUUCAUCAGCGACACCGCAGAAUGUUACAGUUGCAUCCAAGACCAAUAGCGACCGACAAUGCGGAGCACCAGGUACCAGUUUCCCUGAACAACUCCAGUCAAUUAUUCAUCAUCCCGAAACAGAAACAAGAAAAGGCCUCACCCCGGCGCGGUCGGCAAUCGGAAGGGUGGGCACUCAG